AUUGCAGGCAAAGCAGGAAUCAAUGGACCCAAAGCCGAUAAUCACGGUCCUCUUCUUAAUCUCCGCCACCGUCAUCGCCGCCCAAGAAUACGUCCGACCGCCGCCUCGCAAGGCCCUCCAUUUCCCAUGGAGUUGAAAACCAUCUUCGCUUCCCCAGCAGGUGAAUUAAAAUCCUCACCUUCUCAUCUUCUCGCUGCUCCGUCUCUUUCACUUUCUGGGAACGUAAGGAGGGUGUAUUCAAUUGAGAAUUUGAGAGAUUUUAAUGGAUUUAUAAAUCCAUGGAUUUUUAUGGAGUUUAAUUGAUUUGUAGAGAUUCUAUGUAAAAUUUUGAUUCAAUUCCCUCGAAAUCUCUUGGGGAGAGGUGAGAUUUGUGGAUGCUCAAAAUACACUACGAAAUCUCUCCAAUUCCCUCUAAUUCCUCAACUUUCUCAAAUUCUUUAAAAUCAAAUUCUAAUUGAAUACACCCAGAUUUCUAAGGAUUUUCAUAAACUAUCUUAAAAUCCUGAUUGAAUACACAUUGAAGAAUCACUUAAAUUCCUGAUUGGAUACCCCUAGAUUUAUUAAAAGAAUUAAAAUCCCUCAAAAUUCCAAUUGAAUACACCCCUAAGAGUUUCUGGGGAUAAAAAAUUGGAUCCCAACUAGAUUUUAUAUCGAAAGCUGGAAAAUUUUGCUCCGUUUUAACGUGGGUUCUGUUUAUUUUGCCAGAAAAUACUUUUCAGAUUGUAUUCUAUGGUUGAGAUCUUCAUCUAAGUCUCCGUUCUCUUGCAAGAUAGAUCCUAGGUAGCAAAAACGUUCACUUUUUGUGAUCUUCGCUAGAUUGCUCCGGUCAUUAGUGUGGAUAAGUAUAUAAAUGGAUGGAGAUAGGAAAGCAAACACAAGAUGUACGUGGUUCACCCAGAUUGGCUACGUCCACGGAAUAGAGGAGUUCUCAUUAAUUGUGAAGGGUUUACACUAGUACACAGGUUCAAGCUCUCCUUUAGUGAGUACAAGUGAAUGAUUUAGUACAAAUGACAUUAGGAAAUAUUGUGGGAGAAGGAUCUCGUAACCACGAAACUUCUAAGUACCAGAGUGUGGUAUCGUCUUGACUUGCCUUAUCUGUCUCAUAGGUAGAUGUGGCAUCUUCUCUGGAAGUACUCUUCCUCCAUCCAGGGGUGAUAUCUGUAACUGGUGGAGAUGCACAAGGUAAUGUAUCAAUUUCACUUGAAGCUUACUUGUAGUUUCAGGCUUGGUCAAGCGCGAUACAAACCAUGUAGUAGGAGUCCCCCAAGUCGCCGAGCUAGGGGAUCUGCUGAAAGAGGUGACAGACAAGGUAAGCAAUCAGAGCUCCGGCUGAUUGUUCACAUUCUCCCUAUCUUGCAGGCAGCACGAAGGAUAAAGAGAAGAAAAAUGAGAAGAGAUGAUAUGGGAUACUUUUGCUUUUGAAGAAGUAACUUUCCACAGGCUUAUUCUUGAACUGGGCUGGAGGGUUUUCUGGUUUCCUCCAGAGUAUAAGGCCGACUGAAGAAUUUGAGGGUCAAAACAAGUCCAUCAAAUCUAGAGUACGUUCGACCCUGCUGAUAUAGGAUGUUUUUGCUUUUGACAGAGUAAUGGAUGUAUCGGCACGUGUGCUGUUACGCUUGUCUCCACAUGCUUCCUUGUAUCCUUCUCACUUGCCCUAUCUGUUCCUCAGGCAGAUGCGGUAUCUUCCCUGGAAGCAUAAGAUGUUGAAGAUGAGUACUCGAGAGCAAUGCCAGGUAAGUAAUCAGGUAAGGGGUUCCAGGCAGUCAGUUCCUGGCUGGAAGCUUGAUUCCAAGUGCUGACUGAUUGCUCUCUUUCUCCUUGUCUUGCAGGUAAGAACAAGGUCAAAGGAAAAGACAGGGAAAAAGCAUGAUAUGGGAUACUCUUGCUUUUAACCUUGAUGAUAUGAGAUAUUCUUGCUCUAGUAUAGCUUGUUUACAGAGGUGUUAUCGGGGGGAAAGAAAGCUGAAUAUUUCGAAAGGCUUCGUUGGGAGUGCCCUCUCAGAUAAGAGGAAGGGUUGAGCAUUUUUGCAGGUCUGCCUGUCCGUUGGGGAUGGAGGUCGACAUAUAUAGGUGUCUCCCUAACAUCAAGUAAUAAUGCUAUUCCUUUACCCUGCUUGGUCAUAGCACGGUAGUGGGAACUGCUAGCUUCACAUGUUUUAACUUUGUCAGAGCACUUUGAAAAAGUGGUCUGUGGUAUCUGGAAAGCUGAUGUUGCGUGUGAAGAUUACAGACAAGCUUUAUCCAAGGAGAUCCAGCUCUUGAAGUUGGGAAAGUGGUGCCUCUUCGGUUUUCAAACAAGCAAUCCUGUCAGGGAUCUGGCUCUCGAGAUUCGGAGAACGAUGCCUCUUCGAUUUUUGAGAAAGCAAUCAUGCUGGGGGUCUGGCUUUCGAGAUUCGGAGAGCGGUGUCUCUUCGAUUUUUGAGAAAGUAAUCAUGUUGGGAGUCUGGCUCUCGAGAUUCGGAGGGCGGUGCCUCUUCGAUUUUGGAGCAAGCAAUCUUGUUGGGAGUGUUUUCUCGAAUGUGAGUAAAGGUUGGGCAUGUUUGCUAGUCUACCUUGCCACGAAGCACAGAGGUUGACACACAGGGACUUUCCAAUUAUCCAGCAGUGGUACUGUUCCUUUACCCUCUCUUCAAUUUUUGAGAAAGUAAUCAUGUUGGGAGUUUGGCUCUCGAGAUUCGGAGGGCGGUGCCCCUUCGAUUUUGGAGCAAGCAAUCUUGUUGGGAGUGUUUUCUCGAAUGUUAGUAAAGGUUGGGCAUAUUUGCUAGUCUACCUUGCCACGAAGCACAGAGGUUGACACACAGGGACUUUCCAAUUAUCCAGCAGUGGUACUGUUCCAAUACCCUCUCUUCGAUUUUGAGAAAGUAAUCAUGUUGGGAGUCUGGCUCUCGAGAUUCGGAGGGCGGUGCCUCUUUGAUUUUGGAGCAAGCAAUCUUGUUGGGAGUGUUUUCUCGAAUGUGAGUAAAGGUUGGGCAUGUUUGCUAGUCUACCUUGCCACGAAGCACAGAGGUUGACACACAGGGACUUUCUAAUUAUCUAGCAGUGGUACUGUUCCUUUACCCUCUCUUCGAUUUUUGAGAAAGUAAUCAUGUUGGGAGUCUGGCUCUCGAGAUUCGAAGGGCGGUGCCUCUUCGAUUUUGGAGCAAGCAAUCUUGUUGGGAGUGUUUUCUCGAAUGUGAGUAAAGGCUGGGCAUGUUUGCUAGUCUACCUUGCCACGAAGCAUAGAGGUUGACACAUUACCCUUGUGGGUAAUAAUAUGGUAGCUAGACCUUCAAAAUUUAUGUGUCUAAACUUUGUUAGUGUUGUUUCUUUGCUAUUCUUUUACCCUUCUUGGUCAGAGCGAUGUAGUGGGAGCUGCAAGCUUCACGUGUCUCAACUUUGUCAGAGAACUUUGGCAAAGUUAUCUGUGGUACCCAUGAGCUACUGUUGCGUGUGGGAAGUGGGUGAUUGAACAGUACGAUUCAUGUGCUUUCUACUUCGCCAGAAAUCUUCGACAGAAUGCCCAUAAUUUCCGCAAAGCUGAGUGUGCGUGUGAUAGGUGCUAACAAGGCUGGAAAAGUAGGUGCCUCUUCGAUUUCUGAGAUCGGCCCUCGUGAGCAGCCCAGCUUUUGAGAAAGCAAGCCUCUUCGAUUUCUGAGAUCGGCCUUCGUGGUCUUUGAGCAGCCCAGCUUUUGAGAAAGCAAACGCCUCUUCGAUUUCUGAGAUCGACCCUCGUGGUCUCUGAGCAGCCCAGCUUUUGAGAAAGCAAACGCCUCUUCGAUUUCUGAGCAGGCGCCUCUUCGAUUUCUGAAGCUUCGUCGAGUGCAGAUUUUUAUAGGGGCUGACAUUAAGUUCCAAAGCACACUUGAAUAUCCACCAGUAGAAGCUCCAUUCUUGCACUUCUAAGAUCUUGAUUUGUCCGACCUCUUCUCUCUUCAACACUUUUGAAAAUGUCUGGCCCCUCCGACCGUCGUUUUGACUUGAACCUUGUUGAAGAGGCAGCCCCGCCUUCUCCAGACAACAUAUGGCGCCCAUCCUUCGUCUCCCCUACUGGUCCUCUUACCGUUGGGGAUUCCGUGAUGAAGAAUGAUAUGACCGCUGCGGUAGUGGCCAGGAACCUUCUCACUCCCAAAGAUAACAGACUACUUUCCAAACGGUCUGAUGAGUUGGCUGUUAAGGAUUCUCUGGCUCUCAGUGUUCAGUGUGCAGGUUCUGUGUCUAAUAUGGCCCAACGCCUAUUUGCUCGAACCCGCCAAGUUGAAUCAUUGGCAGCUGAAGUGAUGAGUCUCAAACAGGAGAUUAGAGGGCUCAAGCAUGAGAAUAAACAGUUGCACCGGCUCGCACAUGACUAUGCUACAAAACAUGAAGAGGAAGCUUGACCAGAUGAAGGAAUCUGAUGGUCAGGUUUUACUUGAUCAUCAGAGAUUUGUGGGUUUGUUCCAAAGGCAUUUAUUGCCUUCGUCUUCUGGGGCUGUACCGCGUAAUGAAGCUCCAAAUGAUCAACCUCUGAUGCCUCCUCCUUCUAGGGUUCUAUCCAGUACUGAGGCUCCGAAUGAUCCCCCUCCGGUGCCUUCUCUUUCUGGGGCUCUACCGACUGCUGAGACUUCUCCUAAGCAACCUUUGUGAAGGCUCCCUCUUGUUUGUUUUAUUUUGACUCAAGUAUAUGUACAUAUUUGUAACUUAUCGGGGAUAUCAAUAAAUAAGCUUUCCUUCAUUUCAACGUAUUGUGUUAAAUACACCAAAGCCUUCUUCGCUAAGUUCUUUGAAUUUUCUUUUGUUGAAACUUGUAUGUUGAAGCUUUGUGAGUGGAGCAUGUAGGUUGAGGUAGUGUUCCCUUAAUUUCCCGAGUGAGGAAAACUUCUCGGUUGGAGACUUGGAAAAUCCAAGUCACUGAGUGGGAUCGGCUAUAUGAAUCUUAGAACGCCAUUGUGUUCUGUCCUGUAUCAUGUCCUUCGUUAGAUCCAAGUACUCUAAGUCUUUUCUUAGGGUCUCUUCCAAAGUUUUCCUAGGUCUUCCUCUACCCCUUCGGCCCUGAACCUCUGUCCCAUAGUCGCAUCUUCUAAUCGGAGCGUCAGUAGGCCUUUUUUGCACAUGUCCAAACCACCGUAACCGAUUUUAUUACAUAAAUCUCAUUGGGGUGUUGUUCCCGGUGUAGCCUACAGCACCUCAAUCUUAAAGCAGGCCUUGAACAAUGAAGGGUCCAUAUUUGAAUAUAGCUACGAGGCAUGGGCUUAAAAAAUUAUUACAAUCACUUCCAAUUUAGAUGUACUAUUGGAGUUGUUUUCUUUUCUCUCUCUUGCGUUUGGAGCUAUUUUCUUCUUUCACUGCCUCUCUUGUGUCAGUCUUUUUAUAAAAUAAAGUAGUCGUUCAGCUACACAUGCAACGGUGAUUUGAUGGCAUUCUGGUGAAACAGGCUGAUCUUUCAAAGGUUGACCGACAGAAGACACCUUGGCUGCUCGUGCUCUUUCAUGUUCCCUGGUACAAUAGUAAUAAGGCUCAUCAAGGUGAAGGGGACAGCAUGAUGGCAGCAAUGGAGCCAUUGCUUUAUGCUGCCAGUGCGGAUAUAGUAUUUGCUGGUCAUGUUCAUGCUUAUGAACGAACGGUAAAGCUAUACUAAAUUGGCACAUAUUUCUGUAGUAAAUAUAGGGCACACAAUUUUAAUCCAUGAUGUCUUGUUUGACAGAAACGCGUGAACAAUGGAAAAUCAGAUACAUGCGGUGCUGUCCACAUAACCAUUGGUGAUGGCGGAAACAAAGAAGGCUUGGCUCACAAGUAUGUCUCUGCGCUCAAAAGAUUUUCAAAUUUGCAAUUUAGGAAAAUAGAAUGUUUGUUCAACUCUCAUGUGCUUGGAAAAAACAAUCCUGAAAUCGGUUUGCAUGGGAUGAGUUCUGGACAUUUGAAUUUUAUAUUGUCUCUAUGAUAGCUAGUAGUUGUUGGCAAAUAUGAGUCUCAUUGGCAUUGGUUACUAACUGCUUGUUCCAAUUCCUCACAAAUUGGCAGGUAUAAAAACCCACCACCCGAGUGGUCAGUUUUCCGGGAAGCAAGUUUUGGUCAUGGUGAGCUGAAUAUAGUGAAUUCAACCCAUGCCUUUUGGACCUGGCAUAGGAAUGAUGACGACGAGCCUGUUAGGUCCGAUCAGGUCUGGAUAACCUCGUUGGUUAGUUCAGGAUGUGUUGCUGAGAAGACACUUGAGUUAACGAAGAUACUUACGGAACCAUAGAGCUUGUAAUCACAUGAAGUUUGUCUCUCUUCUGGUUGGCGUGUUCGUAAAAUUGGCUUUCUGCAGUUCGAAUGUGCAAGCUCUUCUGUGUAGGCGUCAAACUUUAUGCAUGUACCAUAUAUGGUAGAACUUUCCCCUUAGUGUGUGUGUAUAUAUAGCCAAAAGCAAGCAUGCAAAGUGGCACAAAGCUAACAAGAUGGCAAUGGCAAUUAUGAGGAACGCAAUAAAUGAAACUGUUGGAAUACCAAAGUCUGACAAGGCCAAAGAACUAUUGACCACCAUUGGAGAUAAGUUCAAAUUGUCUGAAAAGGCUGGACUGGAAGCCAAUUCACCAAACUCACCUCUAUGAAAUUCGAUGGUAAUGGGAGUGUGAGGGAACACAUAUUGAAGAUGUCAGACAUUGCAUUGAAACUAAAAAAACCAAUUCAUCAAGGAUCUGUGAACCUUUUGAUGGUGGUUGAUACAAUUCACAGAUCCUUGAAACUGUUUUGUGACAACAAAGCAGCUGUGUUUUUCUCAAAGAACAACAAAAGAUCAUUGGAUUGCCGGCUCAUGGACAUGCAAUAUUUGAAAGUCAGAGAUGAAGUGGGAAAGAUGACAGUUGACAUUGAACACAGUUGCACAUACAACAUGCUGGCCGAUCCCAUGACAAAAGCUCUACCAGUGGGAGUCUUCAAGAAGCAUGUUCAUGGAAUGGGAGUUUAUGAGACUUUUGACUCUGCAAAUGAGGGGGAGUAAAAAUUUGAUCAUUUCUUGCUUGACUAUUAAACUCAUUUCAAUUAAAUAAACUGCCAUGAUGCUUUGUUAUGUUUCAUAUGAGUAACCAUUGUAGACAAAUUCAAGUGAGAUAAAAGCUUAUGCUUAAAACUUAAACUGGUAUUUUGCUAAUCAGACCCAUACACCUUGGCAUUAUCUGCAAUCAUUUACUGAAACCAAGCAUACAUGUAAUUAUGGAACAAAAGUGCAGAAAGAUAUGCACUCGAGUUUCCAUAGUUCUGUGCUCAACUUCAGUGGUGAUUGUUUCAUGAGGAAAACUAAUGUGACGUUAGCUCAGCGAUCACCAUGAUUCUUGUUGCAAUUGAAUUAAAAUCACUUGACACCCAAAGUGGGAUAAUGUAAGAUUAUAUUGGCUUGUCAAGUAUUGUGUCACUGAUCAUACAAAAGGAAAGUUACUUACUAGGCAAGUAAUUUUUCCUAACGUAUGAUUGAAUAAACAAUUGGCCAGGAUCAUGGAGCUAAUGAACAUUGGUUGACUUUUGUAAAACCUAAAUUAUGCAAUAUAUCAUGCACAUGCCUUGGUGGGACAAAUUAAGGAAUAAAUGGUGAUUAGGUGUAUCAAUCCAAUUACUAUGAUAGGGGUCGAAUCCUAAUAUGAAGAACAAGUGACCUCAAGCUGGCUACAACACUCUUGAUUAGCCACCUUAACCGCAUACUUGUAAUGACCAUUUUGCUCGUCAAGGAUUGGUGUAGAACUCCCAUCAACAAAGUUCUCAUUGACUUCUUCAUCAUCAUCAACGUACUUAUCAUAAAUUGGCGGGUAAUUUCAAUCGACUGAGCUAGUCUCUUCAACCACUUGAUAUUCCAACGGAUGUAAAAUCUCACCCAUGACCUUCAUACGCAGCGGAAAACCUGCUCUGAUGCCACUUGAUGCAGUAUCUUAGGGAAACGGGGAUAGAACCCGAGAAUCGCUCAAGCAAGGACAACAGAGCUCGCUCGACGUUACUAAUCGUGGAUUCUCUCACACGACCAAGCCUAACGCUUGAUUUGAGAAGGAGAAAAACUUGAUGCAGUAAAAACCAAGGAUCUUGAAGAGAAGGGGGAUAGAUGACCUGAGAUUCACUCAACAAAGGCAAUAGAAUUUCCUUGACCUUGUUAAUCACUUAAUCGCUCAACACGACCCAGCCUAACACUUGAUUUAGAAGGAGGAAACACUCACUUCAACUGCACAAAGAAAAAUGUAUUUUUUUUUAAUCUAGUCUCCCAAAUGCUUGGAUUACAUCAUAAUUUAAUGAAUGUAAAGAUAAAGGAAGCAUAAAUGAAUUAUAACUUCCUAAAAGACUCUCACCAUAUUUUAAAUGGACUUAAAAAAAUUCUAAGAGUAACUUCAAUGGAAGUCCCUAUAGCUAUCCUUACCACCGUAUUUCUCUAAAUUUAAGGACUUAGUGACUUCCAAUGGGUCGGAAUUACAAUCUCUAUAGCAUAGGGACUAUCGGGAGUCCUAAAAAAUUUCCUCACAAUUGAGGACUGCUUAAGGACUCUCAAAUGGGGUAAAACUUGGAAGUAUUACAAGUUUCUCUCCGAGGUGAGAGUUCUCUCCACACUAAGAGUCCUUCUCAUUGUUUGUGUGAGACUUUUAAACCUAAGCUUUUCUGGUGGCAUCGGCCCUAGCUUCGGUUGGGGUUGAUUAUCGUGUCCUCUGGUCUCCCUUUUCCUUCUUUUCUCAUUGCCUCUACUGUUGUUCUCCCAAAUUUUAACUUUGGCAUGUCCAAUUCCUUAAUCCCCAAAGGUAUUCAUCAUCCCAGUUAUCCCUUGGUUCGAUCUUCAGCCAUAUUUCCUAUUGAGAUCGUGUGUAGAGUUCUGAUGUUUACACCAACUCUGGUGUUUCCAACAACAUCACUUUCUCUGUUAUCUACCGGUUUUGACAGUGUCGCUCGUGGGUUUCCACAAGCUUCAUACUAGUAGUUGGCUUCUCUCACUCUGUUGCCGACUAUCCCCUGCUUAUGGUUGUGCUCAUGUAGGUUUUCGGAGUUAGAGGUGGCUUCUAGUGAGGCAUUAUUCGGAGGUGGUGGACUGGAAUUCGCUUGGAUGGACUGGAAAGCUAAUGGUGGAGAAGACAGUGGAAGCUUCUCGGUUUCUUGGCUGCUGUGCAAGUCUAUGGGACUUACUGUUUUCGUGGGUCAUUUUAUGUUUGUAUUUAGUCUAAGACCCUUGGUUUUUUUGUUAAAAGGUGUUUGUUGGGCCUUGUUUUGCUUGUAAAUUUGUGAUGGUUGUUUAAUAAUAAUAAUAAUAAUUUUUUUUUUUGUUUUAAAAAGGACUCUCAAAUGUGUUAGGCACCAUGUUAAAUUUGAAUAAGGUUGAAGUCCCUGGAAAUGGAUCCUCUCCGAAUCCAUUAUAUGGGGAUCCUAAGGAUUCUCAUAUCUCAGUCGCUCAUCGUGUAUCGUGCGGUCAUAAAUCAUUUGACUUCGGAGAGGAUCUGUGAUCGAACUCUAAAACACUCUGCAGCUUCCAAUGUUGCAGGUCACAUUACUUUUUCUUUUGUUGGUCAAUGGGAAAUCAACGGUUGUGCUAGCUUUUUGAGAUUUUUUUUGCUUUUUAUUGUUUAAAUCAAUGGUUGUCAAAUUAACAAUAACGUUUUAGUCUUUUGGUCCCUAUAUUUAAGGACUAUACUAAAAGAUCAUCUCCAACUCUUAGGUUAAAAUCUAAAAUUUUUAAUGCAAAAGAUUUAGGUUUUAACCCGAAACAGUUUUUUUUGCUCCACCAUUCUAGGUUAAAUUUUUAGUCCGAGAUUAUUAAAGAAUGAAUUUAAGAUAAUUUUUUUUUCUUAAAGUAACUGUUUUUUAAAAACAAAAUUAUGUAGAUUAUCAUAAUUUAAUUUUAUGAACAUUUUAACAUAAAAAUAUUUAGAUUCUGAUAAAUAUUGAAAAAUCACUAAAUUCACACCUUAAAACUCGUGGAAUACUAUAAAAGAAUAUGAAACAUAUGAAAGAAUUUUGUUAAUUAUUUAGUCGUUGGAUUUAUAUAUUUGGACAAUUAUAUUUUUUUUUACCGUUGGAUUUGAUCAUAUUAGAUUUGUAACAUCCCACAUCGCCCAGGGGAGUAAUCCUUAAAUGUAUAUUCUUAUCCCUACCUAGCACGAGGCCUUUUGGAAGCUCAUUGGCUUCGGGUUCCGUAGGAACUCCGAAGUUAAGCGAGAAUGAGGUCAGAGCACUCUCAUGAUGGGUAACCCACUGAGAAAUUGCUCGUGAGUUCCCAAAAACAAAAUUGUGAGGGAAUGGUAAGCCCAAAGCGGACAAUAUCGUGCUACGGUGGUGGAACGGGCUCGGAGUGUGGUGGACCCGGGCAGGGAUGUGACAAAUGCUAUCAGAGCCAAUCCCUGGCCGGAAGUGUACCGACGAGGACGUCAGGCCCCUAAGGGGGGUGGAUUGUAACAUCCCACAUCGCCUAAGGGAGUGAUCCUUUAAAUGUAUAUUCUCAUUCCUACAUAGCACGAGGCCUUUUGGGAGCUCACUAGCUUCGGGUUCCGUAAGAACUCUAAAGUUAAGCGAGAAGGAGGCCAGAGCACUCUCAUGAUGGGUGACCCGCAGGGAAGUUGCUCGUGAGUUCCCAAAAACAAAACCGUGAGGGAAUGGUAAAACCAAAGCGGAUAAUAUCGUGCUACGGUGGUGAAACGGGCCCGGGAUGUGGUGGACCCGGGCCAGGAUGUGACAAGAUUUCAAUCUUUGGAUUUAAUUAAUUUGUAAAUAUAAAAUUAAAAAAAAAAGUACACAUAUAUGGUCGGCCAAACUACUAACCCAAAAGACAUUCUGAGCUAAAUUUGCCUCAAAAAUGAAGUUUUGGGUUAAAACUCAUAUUUGGCCCAAGGGUUGGAGCAAGUUGGGGUAGGUUUAGAACCUAAAAUUUGAGUUUUACUCCAAAUGUUGGAGUAGGUCUAAGGACACUCCCAUUCGAGCUAAUUUUAUUUUAGGUACAUGAAUAUUCCUUAAAGUCCCUAAAUAAAUCAUCAAAAGUGGUAGUUGGAGUCCCUAAUUUUCUUUCGAGUAAAUUGUAGCAAUAAUUCCUUAACUUUAACUCAAUUGGAGCAAUGGUCCCUCAACUAAAAAUCCAUUACCAUUGGUCACUCAACUCAUCAAAACGUGCAUAUGUGGUCUCUCAAUUAAAUAUCUAUUACCAUUGGUCCCUCAACUUUAAUCCAACUGGAGAAAUGGUUCCUCAAAUUUAACUCAAUUGUAGCAAUGGUCCUUCCAACAUAACUCAUUUUGACAAAAUUCUAAUAAAGUUGACGAAAAUGACCAUAACUACACGCUUUGAUGAGUUAAGGGACCCCAAUUGUAGCAAUGUCCAACAUAACUUAUUUUGAUAAAAUUUUGACGAAGUUGAAGAAAAUGACUAUAGCUACACAUUUUGAUGAAUUGAGGGACCAAUAGUAAUAUAUUUUAAAUUGAGGGACAUUGCUCCAAUUUGAUUAACGUUGAAGGACCAUUGCUAAAUUUACUCUUUUCUUUUAUGUACAUGAAUAUCAGAGAUGCUCUAAGUUAUAAAAGUGCAUUGUCAUUAUUAUUACAAUUCCAAAUGAAUCCUCAAAAGUGGUAGUUGGAGUCCCUAAUUUUCUUUCGAGUAAAUUGUAGCAAUAAUCCCUUAACUUUAACUCAAUUGGAGCAAUGGUCCCUCAACUAAAAAUCCAUUACCAUUGGUCACUCAACUCAUCAAAACGUGCACAUGUGGUCUCUCAAUUAAAUAUAUAUUACCAUUGGUCCCUCAACUUUAAUCUAACUGGAGAAAUGGUUCCUCAAAUUUAACUCAAUUGUAGCAAUGGUCCUUCCAACAUAACUCAUUUUGACAAAAUUCUAAUAAAGUUGACGAAAAUGACCAUAACUACACGCUUUGAUGAGUUAAGGGACCCUAAUUGUAGCAAUGUCCAACAUAACUUUGUAGACAUCGAAAUUUCGGUAAAUAAAUGUUGACCAAUAAAUCAAAGUGUCAACGCUCAUGUAUUACAUAAAUUUUACACGUAGCAUGUGACUCAACGAAAAUUGAAAUGAGUUGGAAAAGUCAUCAAAUAAGACACGUGUCAACACCUGGCAGAAACGACUUAUUUCAUCUGGGAUAUUAUAUUCAAAAUUAGGCCUUGGAAAAUUCUAUAAAUACAAGCCCAUUUCAUUCAUUUGGAGGAGGAAUUCAUAUUACACCUUGAAGCUCUGAAGCUCUGAAACUCCGAAGCUCUUAAGCAUCUAGGUUCCCGAAGAAUCAAGAAAGCCUUCUUCGUUCUUCGUUCAUCGUUCUUCCAAGAUCAAGCCCCGACGGCCUUUGGAUCAACAAUCAUCCACCAAUUCAAGAUCAAGCCCCGACGGCCCUUGAAGAAAGUGUUCUUCGUUCUUCGUUCAUCGUUCUUCCAAGAUUAAGCCCCAACGGCCCUUUGGAUCAACAAUCAUCCACAAAUUCAAGAUCAAGCCCCGACGGCCCUUGAAGAAAGUGUUCUUCGUUCUUCGUUCAUCGUUCUUCCAAGAUCAAGCCCCGACGGCCCCUUGGAUCAACCAUCCACCAAUUCAAGAUCAAAGCCCCGACGGCCCUUGAAGAAAGCAUCAUCGUUCAUCAUCCGUUCAUCCAAGAUCAAGCCCCAACGGCCCUUUGGAUCAACAACGUCGACAAAUCCACAAAUCCAACCGUUCUUCAAGAUCAAGCCCAAAACUCCUUGAAGAUCCGUUCAUCACUGUUCUUCAAGAUCAAGCCCAAAAGCCCUUGGAGAUCCGUUCAUCACUGUUCUUCAAAGAUCAAGCCCAAAAGCCCCUUUGAAGAUCCGCUCAAAUCCACCUUCAAGAUCAAGUCCACGGCCCUUGAAGAACGUUCAUCCUUAGAUCAAGCCCAACGGCCCUUUGGAUCAAUCACAUCGACAAAUACACACCUUACGGAGAUCGAAUCAGAGGAUCAAAAUAGAGAGAGAUUGUAACCCAAAAUCAUCAAAUCCAAAUAUUUGUUUGUGCGCGUUUGUUCUUGUCUCUUUCGUUUCAGGAAUUUUCCGUGUUCACAAAUUGGCACGCCCAGUGGGACAAUCUCUGCCUCUCAUCUCUUUCUCCGUUCAAGAAAUUCAAGCGCACUUCUAAAAUUAAUGGCAUCAAGGAAGGCUCAAACUGUUCCCGCAACCGGCGCAAAGAACAAAAACGUCCUCGUCGCAACUGGUGUCACUUUGGGCAUCACGACUCGAAGCAUGGCAAGAGCUACUUCUGCCGCCUCUUUCACCUCCGCAUCAACUCUGCCAAGGGAACAAAAGCACCCAAGACACGAGCCUUUGAUCACCUUAGCCUCACUAAGGGCACCAAGGGGGGAAAGCCCAAGGAAAUACUCCGAAUCCAUGCUCUCCGAUGCCGAUUCAAGCGACAGUUCAGCCAUGCAAGUCAUGACCAUUGGAGCAACUUCAAUCGAUGAGCAGCUGGCUCAAAUGAAUGAAGCAAUCGCAAGGCUAACCCGAACUGUGGAAGAAAAAGACUUGCAAAUUGCAGCACUAGUCAACCGAUUGGAGGCGCAAGACGGCGAUAAACCCGACCCAGAGGAUGAUCCACUAAAGGGAGGAGCUGGCGGAGACGAAGAACCCCCGGUGAAGAAAAUCGAUGGGAAGCCGGAGCCAGACCAAGCAGUGGCACUCAUGGGAUCUCUUUCUAUCCAGCAGCUGCAGGAGAUGAUCACCAACACCAUCAAGGCACAGUACGAAGGGAGCUCACAUACCUCAUUGUUCUACUCGAAGCCCUAUUCCAAGAAGAUUGAUGCCCUAAAGAUGCCAAGGGGUUAUCAACCACCAAAGUUCAUGCAGUUUGAUGGAAAAGGAAACCCAAAGCAGCAUGUUGCACAUUUCGUCGAAACUUGCAACAACGCAGGGACGGAGGGAGACUACCUCGCCAAGCAGUUUGUGCGCUCGCUGAAAGGAAAUGCCUUUGAGUGGUACACGGACCUAGAGAGCCUGAGUCCAUCAACAGCUGGGAGCAAUUAGAACGGGAAUUCCUCAACCGCUUCUACAGCACCCGCCGCACUGUGAGCAUGCUAGAGCUAACGAGCACAAAGCAGUGGAAGGACGAGCCAGUCAUUGACUACAUCAACAGAUGGCGCACUCUAAGCCUCGACUGUAAAGACAGGCUCUCGGAAACCUCUUCAAUCGAGAUGUGCAUCCAAGGCAUGCAAUGGGGUUUGCAAUACAUCCUUCAAGGCAUUAAACCGCGGACCUUCGAGGAAUUGGCCACUCGCGCCCAUGACAUGGAGUUGAGCAUCGCCCAUCAUGGGAAGAAAGAACCGAUCGCCGACUACAAGAACGACAAAGCUCUUGGGAUAAAGGUGGAAAAGGCUGCAUGGAAACCCACCAAGGAAGUGAUGACGGUCAACACAUCUCCCGUCAAAAUAUCCACACGAGGCAAGGCAAUUCAAGCCGAAGGCUUUCGUGAUCAAGAGAUGCGUAGACGCACUUUGAAGGAGCUCGAGGAGAAAACUUAUCCAUUCCCCGACUCUGAUGUGGUUGCCAUGUUAGAAGACUUGCUGGAAAAGAAGGUGAUCGGCUUGCCUGAGUGCAGACGGCCAGAAGAGAUGAAUCGUACCGACAGUCCAAGAUACUGUAAAUUCCACCGCUUCAUCAGUCAUCCGACAGAAAAGUGCUUCGUGCUGAAAGAUCUCAUCAUGAAGCUGGCUCAGAAAGGAAUCAUCGAGCUAGAUCUUGACGAAGUGGUGAAGUCAAACUAUACCACCUUCACUUUUGGCUCUUCCAACUCAAAGUUUUCACCUCAACCGCUGGGGGCAUCCUCAAAGACAAGCAAAGUUGAAGGAUGGACUCAAGUCACUCCUAAGAAAUUGCACAAGAAGCAUACGUCUCCUCCACAAGUCCGCCAAUCGGAAAGGGGGCAAAGCAGCUAUUGUCAACCUUCAAAGCAACGUGAACGUGUUGAAGAUGAUGAAAUUUCGACACAUAGAUCGUCCAUCCCCAUCACGAUGCGCGAUUUCCUGCCCGAAGACUUCUUCAAUCACGCGGUCAAAGCUCCUUGCUAUGAAAAUUAUGAGGAACGCCUCUCCCGGAUUGCUUGACAAAAUUCACAAAUUCUCCUCACCCGCACGAGUCUAAACUGCAUGGCACAAAGCUCCUGGUCUGCACGAGCAUAAAAGGCAACACCAACGCUCCUGGUCUGCACGAGCAUAAAAGGCAACACCAACACUCCUUGCCUGCACGAGCUGAAACUGCAACACGGCACCAAAUGCUCCUUGCCUGCAUGAGUUAAAAAUGCAAACGGCACAAAAAAGAAAAUACCAAAAAAAAAAAAAUGUAUGUAUUUGAACUACGUUACGACUUGAUCUCUUCUUUGGAGGGGUACGUAGGCAACUCGAAUGUUCAAUUUUUCGAGUUCAGUCACAUCAAAAUAUAAAUAAAUGUUUUAUUAAAGAAAGUCAAUUUUAUUUUAAAAAAAAAAUGAUGAAUACAUAUGUUUAUGUAUUUACAAAAAAAAAAAAAGAGGUUUGUACAAUAUAUAUAUGUAUAUAUGUAUACAUAUAUAUAAUCUGCAAUUGCUUCGGCCCAGCACGGUUCACACCAUCAACAAGGCCACCAAAUGUUGGGCCCAACUCCUGUGGCCCAGUUCUUCACAUCCGGCUUGUCUUCUUCCCCUACGCCUCUCCAAAAUGCGGAAUCUGCUUACAGAGUGUGAAAAAGCGGUCAGGGCACCGCCAUUUUUACAGCGGAGUGCUCCCAUUCCUUCCACUUCGCCUGCAUCUCCGCCCACGUCAAGAAGCACAGCCUCCUCCUGUGCCCCGUCUGCAGUACUGCCUGGAAGGAGCUGCCGUUAAUCUCCGUCCAGAUCUCCACAGAAAACCCAAAACUGAACCAACUCACUCUCUCUAGAAAUUCGAUUCUCCUUCUCCAUAGCUCUCUGCAAGUGCAAUGCAAAACCAAUUCAAGCUUAAGCUCUCAAAUAUUUUUUUGAUCCGCAUCUGGCUCCUGCAAGACUCGAAACUUAUCAGACGAGAUCGAGAAAGCCGCUCCGGAGAUUCGUCAGGUCGAGAGUACUCUGGUUCGAAGAAUUGCAGAGCAGAUCCAAUUGAGGGAAGAAACUGUGGAGGAGUUCACAUAUACUGGUAUUGAUACGAACAGUCGGGUUUCUGCCGGACCCUCGAACCCGAUUCCCUAUCCAUCCUCUCAUCAUCAAAAUCCUAAUCGUCUUCGUCAAUCUCUUUCUCUGCCGGAUCCGAACUCGAGCCCGUUUGGCAUAAUCGUCUACAGCUCCACGCCCGACUCGAACACCAAGUCGGACCCGCCAUUUUCUUCCUCUCUGUCUUCGAAUCUCGCGACCAGGCUGCCAAACCGGACCGAGAAAAUACACCUGGCUUUUUCCAGAAGUAUGAGCUUGCCUUUGACCAUGGCGGACUCCGGGUUCUCACCAAGUCAAGGGGAAUGCAAAAGGAAAGAAAACCGAGACUUCUAGUUCAAGUAGCAGCGGAAGUGAGAGCAGCAGUAGCGGAAAUGGUGGUGUUAAUAAUGCGGGCAGCGACUAUCGAGCACGCGAGCUCUAUGCUCCGCUCCACCAACUCUUCGACGCCGUCGUCCACUCUGACUCUGUGGAGUCGUCACUAAGCCUCAACCUUUCCCCCGUGUAGGACUGCUUUGUCUGUCCUCUCUUUCUCGCUUAGCAACCUCUGACGACGACAAGCACCGCCGUUCUCCUCCUGUAAAGUGACGGCUGGUGACAGCGGUAGAGGAGCAGCCGCGCGGAGCUCCGUCGCGUCGUUCAGAGUAUUGCCAUGGCCAUUGCAGUCGCCGUCGCCGUCGUCUUCGUCUUCUCACUCUCCUUUGUCUUCACUUCCCGAACCGACUCCUCCGAUCUCGGCGACUCGGGUUUCGAUUCUGGUUCAUUUGGUGGAUUUGGAUCGACGAGAAGGACCGUGCUGGCUCUGAAAUCGGAUCCAUUGAAGCUCCUCCAGGCCCAGGAAGCCCAAUUGGCGUUUUCCCCUUCACCAGCCUUUGGAAUGGCAGCUUGCGGAUCAGGAGCUCCGUGCUCUUCUGGUACUUCCUGAUCUCUCUCAGCGCCACCGUUCCCGGCCUGAAGCGGUGAGGCUUCUUCACUCCUCCGGUCGCCGGAGCAGACUUCCGGGCUGCCUUGGGGCCUUGCCUCCGGUCGAUUUCCAGGCGGUUUGCUUGGUACGUGCCUUCAAGACAAGCUGCAGGGACUUCAAGAGAUCACAGCGUUGCAGCCACCACCGUUCCGCCGCCUGCUCGCAUCGACGAGUGCAGCUUCGUCGCCGAGGAGACCAGAAAGGUCUUCAAAAGCUUCGAUUGCAACGGCGAUGGCAAGAUCUCCGUCACAGCUGCCCUGUCCUCCUCCGUCCAAUCCCUCAUCGACAACACCGCCGUCGCCAUCAAAAUCAUCGACAAGUCCCAAGCCGACGCCGCAAUGGAGCCCCGCAUCCUUCGAGAAAUCUCCGCCAUGCGCCGCCUCCUGCUUCACUCUCCUUCUGCCCUCCGCUGCUCCAGCUUCUGUGCAUGCUUCAUCCGUCAUCCUCCUUGCUCCGCUCCCUGCAAAUUCCCCCAGCCCAUCAUCGAAAUUUAUACAAAAAAAAAAUAUAAUAGAAAAUGGGAUAGUGGAGCAAAUUGGUGCUGGCACCAUGUGAAAAGAAAGGGGAGGUGCAUGUGGCACCAAAAGCAGACGAAUAAAAAAAAAAAUAAUAAUAAUAAUAAAAUAAAUAAAUAAUAAUGAUGAAAUAAUAAUGAUAAUAAUAAAAAAAAAAAAAAAAAAAAAAAAAAAAAAGAAGGUGGAUUCUUGGUGGCUAGCACCAUGCAAAAACAAAGGGAAAAUGAGUUUUGGGAUGAAAAAAAAAAUAUAUAUAUAUAUAUAUAUGUAUGUAUGUAUGUGUAUAUAUAUAUAUGUGUGUAUAAUAUAUAUAUAUAAAGCAAAAAAAAAAAAGAGCCUUAAGAAAAAUAAAAGUCCAUUUUAUUUAUUUAUUUUCGGAAAUUUUACAUAAAAUUGCAUUCUACAUACCAAAAAAAAAAAAAAAAAAAAAAAAAAAAAAAAAAAAAAAAACAAUUAACAAAUGUGCAAACAAACGGGAGAGAGUCUUUAUUGCUCAGGUGGUGUCUCAGUACUCGGCGGAACCCCAGGAGGAGGAGGCACCGAAGAUUGAUCAUUCGGAGCUUCACUACGCGGUACAGUCCCAGAAGACGAAGGCAAAUGCUGCUGGAACAAACCCACAAACCUCUGAUGAUCAAGUAAAAUUUGACCAUCAGACUCCUGCAUCUGGUCAAUCUUCCUCUUCAUGUUUGUCGCAUAGCUAUGUGCGAGUUUAUGCAACUGUUUAUUCUCCUGCUUGAGCCCUCUAAUCUCUUGUUUGAGACUCAUCACUUCAGCCGCCAAUGAUUCAACUUGACGGGUUCGAGCAAAUAGGCGUUGGGCCAUAUUAGACACAGAACCCGCACACUGCACACUGAGAGCCAGAGAAUCCUUAACAGCCAACUCAUCAGACCGUUUGGAAAGUAGUCUGUUAUCUCUGGGAGUGACAAGGUUCCGGGCCACCACCGCAGCGGUCAUAUCAUUCUUCACCACUGAAUCCCCAACGGUAAGAGGACCAGUGGGGGAUAUGAAGGAUGGGCGCCAUAUGUUGUCUGGAGAAGAAGGGACUGCCUCUUCACCAAGAUUCAAGUCAAAACGACGAUCGGAGGGGCCAGACAUUUUCAAAGGUGUUAAAGAAAGAAGAGGUCGGACAAAUCGAGAUCUUAGAAGUGCAAGAAGGUACAAGCAAAAAAUUCGAGUGUGCUUUGAAAUGAACUGCCUGCCUCUAUAAAAAUCAGCACUCGACGGGAUUUCAGAGAUCGAAGAGGCGAGCUCAGAAUUCGAAGAGGCCAUUCAAAAAUCGAAGAGGCAAGCUCAGAAAUCGGAGAAGCAUCUUGCUUUUCCAGACGCGUCGGCACCCGUCACACGCAAACUCAGCUUUGCGGAAAUCACGGGUAAUUUGUCGAAGCGCCGAUCCCAGAUAUCGAAGAGGCGCCAGUCUUUUUCAGCCGCGUCAUCACCUGUCAUAUGCACACUCAACUUUGCGCAAAUCACGGGCAAUUUGUCGAAGAUUUUCGGUGAAGGAGAAAGCACGUGAAAGUUUACUGUUCAAUCACGCGUUAGUUGCCGACACGAGUGAAAGAAUAGUACCUCUACAGGUAUCAAAGAACUUCCUAUAACUGUCCACCUUCACCUUCCACAGCAAGGAAGACAUACAGAGCCUUUCUUCAUCUAAAAAAAAAAAAAAUGCUUUCCCAACGAAGCCUCUCGAGUCAUUCAUUCAAUGUUCCUUAUUCCUUGGGGUACCUCUGCAAGCCAAUGACUCCAAAGCAAAAGUAUCUCAUAUCACUAGGGUUGAAAGCAAGAGUAUCUCAUAUCAUGCGUUCUCCCUGUCCUUUCCUUUGUCCUUGUUCUUACCUACAAAGACAAGGAUAAAGAAAACAAUAUGCCGGAACUUCCACUCAAACUCGGGUAAGGAACCGACUGCUUGGAACCCUUCCCUGAUUGCCUGCCUAGCACUGCUCUCGAGUACUCGUCUCCCACUGCUGCUGUACUUCCAUAGAAGCUGUCACAUCUGCUUGGAGAACAGAUAAGACAAGUGAAAAUGAUACCUUGCAGCAUGUGGAGACAACGUGCUGAAGAAACAAGCAGAGAAGAAGGCGGUCUGCACAGUCAACUCAGCAGAAGGAGUCCGAGCUGAAGAACUCGAGAAGCUGCCAUAUCUGCCUGAAGAAACAAGCAGAGAAGAAUGCAGCAUGCUCAGUUAACUCGGCAGAAAGAGUCUGAGAUGAAGAACUCGUUUUGACCCUCAAAUUCUUGGGUCGACUUACUAGGCGUUGUGGGCUGCACGUGCUGAUUCACCACCCUUGAAUCAAAUCCUUAAAGAUCAUGUCACCAACGGGAAGAAGAGCUCAUCAACCUUGAAGAUCAUACCGUUGACCAAACUGCUCAGGUGUGAAUUAGAAAGAUUGAACAAAGAAACAGGUUGUCACCUUUACCUCGUGCCUGCUUACCAUGUGUUCGAGUCAACCUUCAAGAAUCAAGCCUCAACGGCCCUUGAAGAAGCUUCCAGCCAAAUUCAAAAAUCAAGCCUCGACGGCCCUGGAAGAAAUCACAAGUCCGAUUCAAGAUUAAGUGUCUACCACCCUUGAAUCAAAACCUAGUUCAAGAAUAAGCUGUGGAAAAUCAACAAUUGGAGGAAUCUAGAAAAUCCUUCAACCCAGUUCAAGAUCAAAGCUGUGGAAAGUCAACAAAGCGCAACAAAAUACGUGUCGAUUCACCCACUACCAAAGCCAAAGAUCAUCUACCACAUGAAACUCCUUGUGGUCCAAUUUCAACCUUCAAGAUCAAGCCUCGACGGCCCUUGAAGAAAUUUCAAACAACAAUUCAAGAUCAAGCCUCAACGGCCCUUGAAGAAAUCUCAAGCCCAAUUCAAGAUCAAGCCUCAACGGCCCUUGAAGAAAUCUCCAGCCCAAUUCAAGAUCAAGCCUCGACGGCCCUUGGAUCGACAUCUAUAGUAAGGGACUUCAAAACACAUCUCCUACACGUGACAAGCACAUGUAUACGACGUGCCUUGAAGUGGGGGCAUUUGUAGACAUCGAAAUUUCGGUAAAUAAAUGUUGACCAAUAAAUCAAAGUGUCAACGCUCAUGUAUUACAUAAAUUUUACACGUAGCAUGUGACUCAACGAAAAUUGAAAUGAGUUGGAAAAGUCAUCAAAUAAGACACGUGUCAACACCUGGCAGAAACGACUUAUUUCAUCUGGGAUAUUAUAUUCAAAAUUAGGCCUUGGAAAAUUCUAUAAAUACAAGCCCAUUUCAUUCAUUUGGAGGAGGAAUUCAUAUUACACCUUGAAGCUCUGAAGCUCUGAAACUCCGAAGCUCUUAAGCAUCUAGGUUCCCGAAGAAUCAAGAAAGCCUUCUUCGUUCUUCGUUCAUCGUUCUUCCAAGAUCAAGCCCCGACGACCUUUGGAUCAACAAUCAUCCACCAAUUCAAGAUCAAGCCCCGACGGCCCUUGAAGAAAGUGUUCUUCGUUCUUCGUUCAUCGUUCUUCCAAGAUUAAGCCCCAACGGCCCUUUGGAUCAACAAUCAUCCACAAAUUCAAGAUCAAGCCCCGACGGCCCUUGAAGAAAGUGUUCUUCGUUCUUCGUUCAUCGUUCUUCCAAGAUCAAGCCCCGACGGCCCCUUGGAUCAACCAUCCACCAAUUCAAGAUCAAAGCCCCGACGGCCCUUGAAGAAAGCAUCAUCGUUCAUCAUCCGUUCAUCCAAGAUCAAGCCCCAACGGCCCUUUGGAUCAACAACGUCGACAAAUCCACAAAUCCAACCGUUCUUCAAGAUCAAGCCCAAAACUCCUUGAAGAUCCGUUCAUCACUGUUCUUCAAGAUCAAGCCCAAAAGCCCUUGGAGAUCCGUUCAUCACUGUUCUUCAAAGAUCAAGCCCAAAAGCCCCUUUGAAGAUCCGCUCAAAUCCACCUUCAAGAUCAAGUCCACGGCCCUUGAAGAACGUUCAUCCUUAGAUCAAGCCCAACGGCCCUUUGGAUCAAUCACAUCGACAAAUACACACCUUACGGAGAUCGAAUCAGAGGAUCAAAAUAGAGAGAGAUUGUAACCCAAAAUCAUCAAAUCCAAAUAUUUGUUUGUGCGCGUUUGUUCUUGUCUCUUUCGUUUCAGGAAUUUUCCGUGUUCACAAACUUAUUUUGAUAAAAUUUUGACGAAGUUGAAGAAAAUGACUACAGCUACACAUUUUGAUGAGUUGAGGGACCAAUAGUAAUAUAUUUUAAAUUAAGGGACAUUGCUCCAAUUUGAUUAAAGUUGAAGGACCAUUGCUAAAUUUACUCUUUUCUUUUAUGUACAUGAAUAUCAGAGAUGCUCUAAGUUAUAAAAGUGCAUUGUCAUUAUUAUUCCAAUUCCAAAUGCACGUGAGCAAUUUUCAAGUUGCAUUCUUUCAGGCUCGCUGCUGCAUCAGAUUCCACGGGCGAAUCAAACACAUAAGUAUUUGCCUUUAAAAAAAAAAUUCUUUUAUUUAUGAGAGAUAAAGAUAAACCAACGUAAUUUUACCGAGAAUCUGAUAGUUUUCCCGGAACUUUUUAAUCUUUUGGUCCCCACAUUUAAGGACUAUACUAUAAGACCAUCUCCAACUCUUAGUUUAAAAUCUAAAAUUUUUAAUGAAAAAAAAUUUAGGUUUUAACUCCGAAACAGUUUUUCGGUUCCACCAUUCUAGGUUAAAUUUGUAGUCCGAGAUUAUUAAAGAAUGAAUAUAGGAUAAUUUUUUUUUUCUUAAAGUAACCUCUUUUUUUUUUGAACAAAAUUAUGUAGAUUAUCCUAACUUAAUUUUAUGAACAUUUUAACAUAAAAAUAUUUAGAUUCCGAUAAAUAUUGAAAAAUCACUAAAUUCAUACCAUGAAACUAGUGGAAUACUGUAAAAGAAUAUGAAAUGCAUGAAAGAUUUUUUUUUAAUUAUUUAGUCAUUGGAUUUAUAUAUUUAGACUGUUAUUUUUUUUUUUUUUUUACCGUUGGCUUUGAUCAUAUUAGAUUUCAGUCUUUGGAUUCAAUUAAUUUAUAAAGAUAAAACUAAAAAAAAGUACACAUAUAUGGUGAGCCAACCUACUAACCCAAAAGAAAUUCUGAGCUAAAUUUGCCUCAAAAAAUGAAGUUUUGGGUUAAAACUUAUAUUUGGUCCAAGGGUUAGAGCAAUUUGGAGUAGGUUUAGAACCUAAAAUUUAAGUUUUAAUCUAAAGGUUGGAGUAGGUCUAAGAACACUCCCAUUGGAGCUAAUUUUCUUUUAGGUACACUAUUCUUUAAAGUCCCUAAAUAAAUCCUGAAAAGUGGUAGUUGGAAUCCCUAAUUUUCUUUUAGGUACAUGAAUAUCAGAGAUGCUCUAAGUUAUUAAAAGUGCAUUGUCAUUAUUAUUCCAAUUCCAAAUGCAUGUGAGCAAUUUUCAAGUUGCAUUAGGCUCGCUGCCGCAUCAGAUUCCACGGGCGAAUCAAACACACAAGUAUUUGCCUUUAAAAAAAAUUUCUUUGAUUUACGAGGGAUAAAGAUAAACCAGCGUAAUUUUCCCGAGAAUCUGAGAGUUUUCCCGGAAACCCAGCUGGAGAAAAGGCACGACUUCUGCAUGACGAUCAUCUACGGGUUGGUGCUGAUCGGCGUUGUUUUUGCGUAUACUAGAAGUGCGGGCAUCGUAUUGCUCCUCGCUCUUGUUGGAUAUAUCAGUCUCAAAGACUCCGAGAGGAAGAAGAACUCGUAUCCUGCUUUGAAUCUCGAAACGGGUACGUUUGCUAAGAUCAUAAGACGUUAAAGGGGGAAAUAAAUAAAAAUAAAAAAAACAAAUCAUAAUCUGGAUCUUUGUUUGUUGAGAUCACAAAUAGGUAACUUUUGUAGCUUGAUUAAUUUGAUAGAUUUAAUUUUGCUGAUAAUUAUGCUGGAAAUGUGAGUUGUUCCCUCUAAUGAUCUGGAAGCUUUGUGCUUCUGCAAGAGUGGAAGACUUCACUUGUUAAAUUGUUUACUGCUUGCACCUUUAUUAAACUCAUAAUUAAUUCAGGGUUUUACUGCUUGCACCUUUAUUAAACUCAUAAUUAAUUUUAAAUUCAAAACAUUUCCAAAAUAAAAAAUAGUAAUUUAUUCAGGGUUUUACUGCUUGCACCUUUAUUAAACUCAUAAUUAAUUUUAAAUUCAAAACAUUUCCAAAAUAAAAAAUAAAAAAAAUAGAAUAAGUUUGUACCCAUUAAUUUUUUAUAAAAAGAUUUUCAAUUUUUUAACCUUAAAUGUACCCAUUUGUAUAAUUUUUUUAAAUUUUUUUUUUAAUCUUAAAUGUACCAUUUUAUUAUAUGUAAAAUGUAAUUUUUUAAAAAAUAUAUAAAAUGUACCCUUUUUUUUAAUAUAAAAUCCAUUGAAUUUAAUCCAAAUUUUUAAACUUAUAUGGUACAUUCUUUUUCGUUAAUUUGAGAAUGGAUCCAUGUCAAUUUAAUUGAAGAAAUUUACUAAAGCCUAAUAUCUUUGUUUUUUGUGGUGGUACAUGUUUUGGUACAAUUUUUUUUUGGUUAAUUUUGAUGAAAUACCCAUAUAUAUUAUAUAUAUUGGAGAGUAUAAUUUAUCUUUUAAUAUUUUUAAUCCCACAAAUUAUCAAUUUUAUUUAAAAUCUCAUUAAUAUAAACAACUACAAAUUUCAAUUUUGAAUUUAAAAAAUAUAAUAACCUACAUAAAAAUACAUUAUUACAUUAAUGUAAGGAACUUCGAUAAAAAACUGAAAACCAACAAGGUUUAAGUCAAAAAAAAUUAAUAGUUAAGAAUCACAUCCAAAGUCUCCAUUUAUAUUAUCUUGCAAGUUGUAAUUACAAUUGUAUUGUAGUAGUGAGGAAAAGAAGUCAGGGUACUAAGGUUGAUCUAUCUAAGGUUUAGAGAUUUGGAGAGAAAAGUGGCAAUAAGCGAAAGACUAGCUAGGAGGAAAUUGAUAAGGUGAGAGAAACUAAAAAGGAAUUGAGAGUCUUCGUCAAGAGGAAUUAUGCGGUACUUGGACCGGACCACCCCUUCAUUUUGAGGUCCACACUUAUCCUACUGUGGUCCCACUCUCUCUCAUUCUCCCCAAUCCGAGUUCUUUCACACAAGGAUGUGUCCUCCAUCAAGGGCAAAGAACAAACUGUAUAUAGUCAUGUGUCCAUCGGGCGGAUGGUCCUAUAUAUUUUGGUCAUUCUCUGCCCCGGACCACCAUUGUGAGAGUCUUGUAAUCCAUGACCCUUUUCAAUCGAGUUUCAUUUCGUUUCUAUUGUAGUUAGCUUGAUUGUGUUGGGUUGGGUCUUCGGGUUGCCUUCCACCAAUACGAAUAAUAAAAAAAUUAGUAGCAUAAUUGUGCUCCUGUUGUUGAACAACUUUCCAAGUUUGAUCAUCCUAAUAUAGGUGUCCCCAUUGCCAAUAAUUUGUAAGGUUUAGACCAUGUGCAAUGGUGCGGGUUAAAAUUUAAUUUUUAGCCAAGAAAAUUAAGGUUCUAAUCUAUAAAUAACUUUUCUUCUCCAUUGGUUUUGGCUUAAUAUUUUAGCCAAUAUUAUUAAAGAAUAAUUUUAGCCUAUUCUUUUUUUGGUAACUUUUUUUAAAAUAAAAUUUAUGUAGAUUAUCUUAAUUUAUUUUUAUAAACAUUUUAAUUCCAAUAAAUAAUGAAAAAUCACUAAACCUACCUAAUGAAACAUAAAAGUCAUGGAACAACAUGAAAAACACUAAACCUACAUAAUAUGCUUCAAUCUUCUAACAAUUACUAAUACAAACAAUAAAUAAAAAUUAAUAAAGGAUAAUAAAAAAAUCAUAACAAUUAUUAAUGCUAAUAAUAUUCAUCAUCAUUUGGUUGACUUUGUCCUUGACUUGGUAGUGGAUUUUGUGGCGGACUCGACUAACAAACGUUAGAUGGAUCAAUUGAUUAUCAUCCUCAAAAAUAUUCCUUGUGGCAUUCCUUUUUAUAAUAUUUGCUUGCUUCUCAUAGAAGAACUUCUUUCUAUUGGGAGUGUAUUUGUUGGGUCCUCCCUCAUUACAUCAAAUUCAAUCCUUUCUUGCGCUAAAUAGUCUCUUGCAUCCUUAUUUUUCCAGUAAACGCAUUUGAACAUUUCUUCCUUGAUCUACCCUUGGCCUUCAAUUAAUUUUUCAACUCCGAAACAAAGCUUGGCACCAAUCGGAUCUUACAUCUUUCCUUAUCUCUUUGCUUCCUUUUGCUUAUCUCGUCCCGACGCCCUUGCAAUAGUAGGAGAUGGGGUCACCGAUUCGUCAGUAGCGUUGUCAACAUUAACACUUGAGCCUUCAUGAGCAAAUAAUUUUGCCCAUCGUUGGUCCGCAUCAGUUGGUCACCUCAUAUAAUCUUUGAGGAUGUCCCAAGCAUGAUGCAACUUAAAAGUUUGGUUUUCGGGUGUAGUUCUUGUCUUGUAAAUCGCCAUUGCUUUCUCACCUUAUGCAAGCAAUAAAUAAAGAUCAAUUAGUUGUAAAAUAAGAUUGUAUACAUGAAAAAUAAACUAUGAAGGUAGACACUUACCACUUCUUUGGUUCUCAUUCUACUAGCCAUGCCAACUACGGCUCACCCCAAGCUUCACAUCCACAAAGUGCACGCUUUUUUUUUUUUUUUUUUUUUUAAUCUUCCACCGAUCGUGAACACCACCACCUUCCCUUUGGUUGGUGUUGGAGUCGCAGGGCCGGCCUAGGCCCAGUGCAGGCAGGGCGACCGUCCAGGGUCCAAAAAAAUUAGGGGCACCAAAAUUAUUAGGGCGGUAUAUUUAUAUAUAUUUUUAUAAGAGUAUAAAUUUAUAAAAUUUGGUUCAAAGACAUAGAAAUUUAACUAGAAGUGGUGGUUUUUCAUUUGAAAAUAAUGAGGAGGUCUUGGGUUCAAAACACCAUGUGUGCUUAUUUACUUUCCAUUUUUUACAAAUUUCUUUUUAUAAGAGUAUAAAUUUAUAAAAUUUGGUUAAAAGAUCAAGAAGUUUAAUUAGAAACAAUGAUUUUUGUUGUUUAAAAUUAACAAGAGGUCCUAAGUUCGAAAUGCUAUGUGCAUGUUUAUUUUUUACAAAUUUUUGUUUGGUUGUUAAUUUAUUUUUAGUUACUAUCUAGUAGCUAUGUUGGUUGUUAUUUUUAAAUAUUCGUUUUAAUUCAAGUCUAAUCUUCAACAAAGAAUAAUAUGUAAACCAAAUUUGCAAAUUAUAUGACAUGUCAUCAAAAUGUUUAAUUUAGUGCCCAUUCAUUAAUAAUACAUAUCAAUUAAAGACUCGAAAACAUCAUUAUUUUUUAGUCCCAUAUUGACAAGGUUAGUAAAUAAGAAAAAAAACAUCUCACGAUUUAUUCAAAAACACAUUCAAAGUUCAGAUGAAAAACAAAACUCAUCAUCUAUCUACUUGUAAGCCUGAAGUUUUUUUGUUUCCCUCUCUCAAUACAAAAUAAAUUAGUCUUUCUGUGUUUCUAAAUUAUUGAGUUUGAAGUGUUUUUCUAAGUAUAAUUUUUUCGAUGUCUUAUGUGUGAAAAUAAAUAAUUUUCUUACAUGAAGUCAGGGCACUUUUUUUUACGUCGCCCCGGGCCUCAAAAAUCUCUAGACCGGCCCUGUGGAGUCGGAAUUGAUUUGUCCACUAUUUUAGCUCACACGCCAUUUUUUUUUUAUCUGUGCUGAUGACACCAUCUUCUCACUAAUAGAAACUCAUGCCAAGCACAAAGCAAUAUCUUCAUUAUUUGACCAAUUAGGCUCGAAAAAUUAGGAAAUGGGAAGAAAUAGUUUUGGAAGUGGGUAGAAAGAAAAAAAUGGAAUAACUGUUAUGAGGAAAGUGAAUUUUGCAUGGAUGUUUAAAUAAAUACACAAGUAUAUAUAGAAUUUUUGGGUAAAUUUUGAUUUAAAUAAAAUUUUAAUUGAUUUAGCUUUAAAUUUAAUUAUGGGUCGUUAAAUCUAUUUUUUAUCGUUAGAUUAGAUCAUAUUCGAUUUCACCGUUGAAUUUGAAAUGCUUGGUCUUAGGGGAUUAAAAACCAGUGACUAUCACAAAGUUGUGUAGGAUGUUACAGAUUGACAAGUAGUCCAUCCUUUCUAUUAUUUCGCGCGCCACUUAUGAUAUAUACAGGCUACAGCUACGAAUUAACCCCCUUUCCGUCGGUACGGAGGACACCCUGGUGGAAGGAGAAACAAAAACAAACCCUCCAAGAGAGUUUCCGUUUUAAAAAUUUUGAAAAAUUAAAAUCUGAAAAAUCCCAGUUUUCGAUCAGAUUAUUCUCUCUUUGGUUACGAUUUAUGAAAAUUUAUUUCUUCAGUUCCGAUCAGUUCGUGCUCGAAAGAUCAUCAGAAAAUCUACCAGGAAUGGUUUCGAUUCGUUGAUUCAGGUACAUACUUACACUGUUCCGCACAAACACGCAUUUAUUUUCUUCACAUUUCUUUUUUCAGGGAAAAUUUCUUAGUUUUCUGUUUGGUUCCCGAGAAAAUUGAGCAACUGUAAAUUGAGUGUCGGUUUUGUUUUGUUCAGACGCUGAUGGCCGCAUCACCGGGAGUGAUGCUAUAAAGUUCUUCGGCAUGGCCAAUCUGAAUCGGGAGGAGCUCAAGCAGGUUAAUUUGCGUUUUAUUUUGUUUAUUUGAUAUUUUUUUUUGGGUAAUGCCAACCGAGUCACAUAACAAACCGAUUCUUCUUUAUCUUUCGAACAAUGUAUACAUUAACUUACUAAUUUAUUGUAAUAUCAAAUUUAUGUUAAAAAAUCCGUCAAAUUGACUGUCAUCACUGACAUGGCAAAUGUGAUACGUGGAUCCUCCAUUAAUUGACACGUGGACUGACAUUCAAACCCUUUUUUUUUUCUUUUUGUAUUUUUUUGCCUUUCUUUUUCCUCUUUUUCCAUUUUUUAUCUGGUCUUCGAUGAAAUCCAUCUCCGCUGCACUUGCAUAUCGCCUGCAACCUGCAUGUAAGCUGCAUCUGCAUUUCGCCUGCAACCAACCACGAACUUGUAUCUCGCCGUGGCUUGAACCCAGCUCUCCGCCUCCAGGUGCGCACAAGGGCGAAUCAGAGCGAGAGCCCCAGUCGGUGCUGAGAUUCGAAGAGAGGGAAAAAGAGAACAGAGAGGCUUUAUUUUGUGAUUUUCUAUUAAUCAAUUUAAUUUGUCAGUCAGUCUACGUGUCAAAUUUGGUGGGUACCAUGCCUGCCACGUAAGCAUUUAAUAAAAAAAUUGACAAAUUUUUUAACGGAUAUCUGACAUUUCAAUCAAUUCGUAAUAUGAGAUAUGAGUUUGUUAUAUGACUUAAAAUUGAGGUGUGCAAAUGUAAUUUACCCUAUUUUCUUUUAUCAAAUUAGUGCAGUCUCGUUUUCAUUUGUUUCUUGUUUUUGCUGUAAUUCAAUACUAUUAGUAUUUGGUGAAUUUGUUUUUGAUGCAGAGGUUAGUGUAAGCUCAGUUAACGCGUGGUCAUUUUUGAAAUAUAUUUUGUUAGGAUUGAGUUGAGGGUUUGUAUUUCCGUUGAGCAAUGCAUAGUUAUUGUGACGCUUAAUAUGCGAGUAGAGCCGUGGAAGUUGGCACAGAUUGGGUUACUUUGAUAAACUCAAGCUUAAGACUAUGAUCUAUGCCAAACAUUACAUUACAUUUGUAGCAGAAAGCCCCUCCGAUUAGAAGAUGCGACUAUGGGACAGAGGUUCAGGGCCGAAGGGGUAGAGGAAGACCUAGGAAAACUUUGGAAGAGACUCUAAGAAAAGACUUAGAGUACUUGGAUCUAACGAAGGACAUGACACAGGAUCGAGCACAAUGGCGUUCUAAGAUUCAUAUAGCCGAUCCCACUUAGUGACUUGGAUUUUCCAAGUCUCCAACCGAGAAGUUUUCCUCACUCGGGAAAUUAAGGGAACACUACCCCAACCUACAUGCUCCACUCAGAAAGCUUCAACAUACAAGCUUCAACAAAAGAAAAUUCAAAGAACUUAGCGAAGAAGGCUUUGGUGUAUUUAACACAAUACGUUGAAAUGAAGGAAAGCUUAUUUAUUGAUAUCCCCGAUAAGCUACAAAUAUGUACAUAUACAUGAGUCAAAAUAAACACACAAGAGGGAGCCUUCACAAAGGUUGCUUAGGAGAAGUCUCAGCAGUCGGUAGAGCCCCAGAAAGAGAAGGCACCGGAGGGGGAUCAUUUGGAGCCUCAGUACUGGACAGAACCCUGGAAGGAGGAGGCAUCAGAGGUUGAUCAUUUGGAGCUUCAUUACGCGGUACAGCCCCAGAAGACGAAGGCAAUAAAUGCCUUUGGAACAAACCCACAAAUCUCUGAUGAUCAAGUAAAACCUGACCAUCAGUUUCCUUCAUCUGGUCAAGCUUCCUCUUCAUGUUUGUAGCAUAGUCAUGUGCGAGCCGGUGCAACUGUUUAUUCUCAUGCUUGAGCCCUCUAAUCUCCUGUUUGAGACUCAUCACUUCAGCCGCCAAUGAUUCAACUUGGCGGGUUCGAGCAAAUAGGCGUUGGGCCAUAUUAGACACAGAACCUGCACACUGAACACUGAGAGCCAGCGAAUCCUUAACAGCUAACUCAUCAGACCGUUUGGAAAGUAGUCUGUUAUCUUUGGGAGUGAGAAGGUUCCUGGCCACCACCGCAGCGGUCAUAUCAUUCUUCAUCACGGAAUCCCCAACGGUAAGAGGACCAGUAGGGGAGACGAAGGAUGGGCGCCAUAUGUUGUCUGGAGAAGGCGGGGCUGCCUCUUCAACAAGGUUCAAGUCAAAACGACGGUCGGAGGGGCCAGACAUUUUCAAAGGUGUUGAAGAGAGAAGAGGUCGGACAAAUCAAGAUCUUAGAAGUGCAAGAAUGAAGCUUCUACUGGUGGAGAUUCAAGUGUGCUUUAGAACUUAAUGCCAGCCCCUAUAAAAAUCUGCACUCGACGGAGCUUCAGAAAUCGAAGAGGCGCCUGCUCAGAAAUCGAGAGGCGCCUGCUCAGAAAUCGAAAGAGGCGUUUGCUUUCUCAAAAGCUGAGCUGUUUUAGAGAUCACGAGGGUUGAUCUCAGAAAUCGAAGAGGCUUUUGCUUUCUCAAAAGUUGGGCUGCUCAAAGACCACGAAGGCCGAUCUCAGAAAUCGAAGAGGCGCUCGCUUUCUCAAAAGCUGGGCUCCCCAGAGACCACGAGGGCCGAUCUCAGAAAUCGAAGAGGCACCUACUUUUCCAGCCUUGUCAGCACCUGUCACACGCACACUCAGCUUUGCGGAAAUUAUGGGCAUUCUGUCGAAAGACUUCUGGGGAAGUAGAAAACACAUGAAUCUUACUGUUCAAUCACCCACUUCCCACACGCAACAAUAGCUCAUGGGUACCACAGAUAACUUUGCCAAAGUUCUCUGCCAAAGUUGAGCACGUGAAGCUUGCAGCUCCCACUACAUCGCUCUGACCAAGAAGGGUAAAAGAAUAGCAAAGAAACAGCACUAACAAAGUUUAGACCCAUAAAUUUUGAAGGUCUAGCUACCAUAUUAUUACCCACAAGGGUAAAGGAACAGUACCACUGCUGGAUAAUUGGAAAGUCCCUGUGUGUCAACCUCUGUGCUUCGUGGCAAGGUAGACUAGCAAACAUGCCCAACCUUUACUCACAUUCGAGAAAACACUCCCAAUAAGAUUGCUUGCUCCAAAAUCGAAGAGGCACCGUCCUCCGAAUCUCGAGAGCCAGACUCCCAACAUGACUACUUUCUUAAAAAUCGAAGAGAGGGUAAAGGAACAGUACCAUUGCUGGAUAAUUGGAAAGUCCCUGUGUGUCAACCUCUGUGCUUCGUGGCAAGGUAGACUAGCAAACAUGCCCAACCUUUACUCACAUUCGAGAAAACACUCCCAACAAGAUUGCUUGCUCCAAAAUCGAAGAGGCACCGCCCUUCCGAAUCUUGAGAGCCAGACUCCCAACAUGAUUACUUUCUCAAAAAUCGAAGAGACACUGCUCCCCGAAUCUUCGAGAGCCAGACCCCCAGCAUGAUUGCUUUCUCAAAAAUCGAUGAGGCAUCGUUCUCCGAAUCAAUCGAAGAGGCGCUCGCUUUCUCAAAAGCUGGGCUGCUCAGAGACCACGAGGGCCGAUCUCAGAAAUCGAAGAGGCACCUACUUUUCUAGCCUUGUCAGCACCUGUCACACGCACACUCAGCUUUGCAGAAAUUAUGGGCAUUCUGUCGAAGACUUUCUGGUGAAGUAGAAAGCACAUGAAUCUUACUGUUCAAUCACCCACUUUCCCACACGCAACAAUAGCUCAUGGGUACCACAGAUAACUUUGCCAAAGUUCUCUGCCAAAGUUGAGCACGUGAAGCUUGCAGCUCCCACUACAUCGCUCUGACCAAGAAAGGUAAAAGAAUAGCAAAGAAACAGCACUAACAAAGUUUAGACACAUAAAUUUUUGAAGGUCUAGCUACCAUAUUAUUACCCACAAGGGUAAAAGGAACAGUACCACUGCUGGAUAAUUGGAAAGUCCCUGUGUGUCAACCUCUGUGCUUCGUGGCAAGGUAGACUAGCAAACAUGCCCAACCUUUACUCACAUUCGAGAAAACACUCCCAACAAGAUUGCUUGCUCCAAAAUCGAAGAGGCACCGUCCUCCGAAUCUCGAGAGCCAGACUCCCAACAUGACUACUUUCUCAAAAUCGAAGAGAGGGUAAAGGAACAGUACCAUUGCUGGAUAAUUGGAAAGUCCCUGUGUGUCAACCUUUGUGCUUCGUGGCAAGGUAGACUAGCAAACAUGCCCAACCUUUACUCACAUUCGAGACAACACUCCCAACAAGAUUGCUUGCUCCAAAAUCGAAGAGGCACCGCCCUCCGAAUCUCGAGAGCCAGACUCCCAACAUGAUUACUUCCUCAAAAAUCGAAGAGACACUGCUCUCCGAAUCUCGAGAGCCAGACCCCCAGCAUGAUUGCUUUCUCAAAAAUCGAAGAGGCAUCGUUCUCCGAAUCUCGAGAGCCAGAUACCACAGACCACUUUUUCAAAGUGCUCUGACAGAGUUAAAACAUGUGAAACUGGCAGCUCCCACUACCGUGCUAUGACCAAGCAGGGUAAAGGAAUAGCAUUACUACUUGUUGUUAGGGAGACUCCUAUAUAUGUCGACCUCCAUCCCCAACGACAGGCAGACCUGCAAAAAUGCUCAACCCUUCAUCAUAUCUGAGAGGGCACUCCCAACGAAGCCUUUCGAAAUAUUCAGCUUUCUUUCCCCCCGAUAAUACCUCUGCAAACAAGCUAUACUAGAGCAAGAAUAUCUCAUAUCAUCAGGGUUAAAAGCAAGAGUAUCCCAUAUCAUGCUUUUUCCCUGUCUUUUCCUUUGGCCUUGUUUUUACCUGCAAGACAAGGAGAAAGAGAGCAAUCAGUCAGCACUUGGAAUCAAGCUUCCAGCCAGGAACUGACUGCCUGGAACCCCUUACCUGAUUACUUACCUGGCAUUGCUCUCGAGUACUCAUCUUCAACAUCUUAUGUUUCCAGGGAAGAGAUUCCGCAUCUGCUUGAGGAACAGAUAGGGCAAGUGCGAAGGAUACAAGGAAGCAUGUGGAGACAAGCGUAACAGCACACGUGCCGAUACAUCCAUUACUCUGUCAAAAGCAAAAGUAUCCCAUAUCAGCAGGGUGGAACGUACUCUAGAUUUGAUGGACUUGUUUUGACCCUCAAAUUCUUCAGUCGGCCUUAUACUCUGGAGGAAACCAGAAAAACCCUCCAGCUCAGUUCAAGAAUAAGCCUGUGGAAAGUUACUUCUUCAAAAGCAAAAGUAUCUCAUAUCAUCUCUUCUCAUUUUUCUUCUCUUUAUCCUUCAUGCUGCUGCAAGAUGGGGAGAAGGUGAACAAUCAGUCGGAGCUCUGAUUGCUUACCUUGUCUGUCACCUCUUUCAGCAGACCCCCUAGCUCGGCGACUUGGGGAACUCCUACUACAUGGUUUGUAUCGCGCUUGACCAAGCCUGAAACUACAAGUAAGCUUCAAGUGAAAUUGAUACAUUACCUUGUGCAUCUCCACCAGUUAAAGAUACCACCCCUGGAUGGAGGAAGAGUACUUCCAGAGAAGAUGCCACAUCUACCUAUGAGACAGAUAAGGCAAGUCAAGACGACACCACACUCCGAUACUUAGAAGUUUCGUGAUUACGAGAUCAUUCUCCCACAAUAUUUCCUAAUGUCAUUUGUACUAAAUCAUUCACUUGUACUCACUAAAGGAGAGCUUGAACCUAUGUACUUGUGUAAACCCUUCACAAUUAAUGAGAACUCUUCUAUUCCGUGGACGUAGCCAAUCUGGGUGAACCACGUACAUCUUGUGUUUGCUUUCCUAUCUCUAUCCAUUUAUAUACUUAUCCACACUAAUGACCGGAGCAAUCUAGCGAAGAUCACAAAAAGCGACCGUUUUCGCUACCUAGGAUCUAUCUUGCAAGAGAACGGAGAAUUAGAUGGAGAUCUCAACCAUAGAAUACGAGCUGGAUGGAUGAAGUGUAAGAGUGCAUCCGGCGUGUUGUGUGACCGUCGUAGGCCACUGAAGCUCAAGGGAAAAUUUUAUAGGACGGCAAUAAGGCCAGCGAUGUUGUAUGGCACAGAAUGUUGGGCGGUGAAGCAUCAACACGUACACAAAAUGGGUGUAGCGGAGAUGAGGAUGCUUCGUGGGAUGUGUGGGCACACGAAAAAGGAUAAGAUUGGGAAUGAGGAUAUCCGAGGUAAAGUAGGAGUAGCCGAAAUUGUAGGAAAGAUGAGAGAAAAUCGGCUCCGGUGAUUUGGACAUGUGCAAAGAAGGCCGACUGACGCUCCGGUUCGAAGAUGUGACUACGGGACAGAGGUUCAGGGCCGAAGGGGUAGAGGAAGACCUAGGAAAACUUUGGAAGAGACUCUAAGAAAAGACUUAGAGUACUUGGAUCUAACGGAUGACAUGACACAAAACCGAAUGCAAUGGCGUUCUAGGAUUCAUAUAGCCGACCCCACUUAGUGGGAAAAGGCUUUGUUGUUGUUGUUGUUGUUGUUGAUAUAUAUAUAUAUAUAUAUAUAUAUAUAUAGCAAAAAUCAAAUAUUUUGAUUGAUAGGAAUCUGACAUGUUGUUACUUUUUCAUUUCCAGCUAGUUUCUCAUGCACAAGCUGGACAUGAUAUUACACACGGUUUAUUGAAUAGCAACGGUGGGUUUCUUUUGUUUGACUUUUAUUGGAAUGCAUGCUUGGAUUGGUAGAAUCUCAUGUAUAAGUUGAAUACUUGUAAUACCUGCUUUUUAAUAAAUAUGAAUGGCACACAAGUAUUUAUUUAUUUAUUAAUUUUAAAAUCUUGUUUGGCACGCUCUUACUUAAACUUUGAGUGCUUUGUUUUAGUUGGCUUGGAAAGUCUGAAACUUCCUGUUAUGGAGGGUUUGGAUGCAUUAUUAUUAGCGGUACGUAGGCUUUUUAUACCUUUCUUAUUUUUAUUUUACUCAUUGUCAUGGAUUUAUUUAUUUUUAAUUAAUUCGUUGUAUAUGGCCGAAGAAAUUGAUUUCGUGUACUUAAUUUAUUCAGAAUAAAAAGCAUUUGCCCAAGUCAAAUGAAAACAAAGUAAAUGGUGAGGAAUUUCUCUAAGUACGAGAUGUGUACUGUUACUUUUGGUUUUUGCUGUCUAUUUACAUAUAAUCUGUGACGCAGGAACUGCUGUGGUGCAGCAAUCACCUUCAGCACUUUGGUUUUCUCCAGAAUCAUCAAAAAAGGUAUAUGUUGUUUCUUAUUUUAAGAGGCAAUUGCCCUUUUGCUUUCAUGAUAGUCAGAAAAAAAGGAUUUAUCGUAAAACUGUUUCUAUUUGAUACUAACUUGAAUUUUCUUAUUUUGAUAAGUUGAGUUUAUUUUUCAUUGUUCGUGAGAAAUUUAUGAUAGUUUUGCAUUCCAGUCUCUCUGAGUUGUUAUACUUCAAGCUGAUUGCAAAAAUACUUGUGUUUUUAUUAGGUUAAGUUUAUCAAUGAUCAUGCGAAAUUAUGAGUCAGUUAGGACUCUGUCCACAACAAAGGCCAGGAGAGGCCAUUUUACAUAGUGAAAAAGAACGAAAAGAGCUUUGUUUACGUCAGUUUUAGGAGUGUUUAUUUUUUUUAUUUUAUUAUUAUUACUAUUUUAUGCGUGAUAUGUCACAGACAGAGUUGAUAAAAUUUCCUGUGCAUACAGAAUGAAAUUUGCAAUACUCUUGGGUAGACAUGAGUUGUGCACUCACCUUAUAAAAAAUCUUUGGCAUAUUUCUAGAUACCGCUUUCUUCUGUAACAUCAAUUAUUGAUGGGUUGAAGAGACUGUAUGUUCAGAAGCUGAAGCCAUUAGAAGUUACUUAUAAGUUCAACAAUUUUGUAUCCCCAUUAAUGGUGAGUGAGUAUCAUUCCCUUCUUCUAGUUCUUUCAUCAGAUUUAUUUCAAUCUUCUCAAACAUCUAUUUAAUUGUGGCAUGCUAUAGUUAUCAAUUGAUAUUUAGUUGCUUUAUUUCGCAGACAAAUGGUGAUUUUGAUGCCAAACCCAUGGUUAUGCUUUUGGGUCAAUACUCCACUGGGAAAACAACAUUCAUUAAACAUUUGCUUAAAAGUAGUUAUCCAGGUAAGUUAUCCUCUGGGAAAGUGUCUUUGUGUAGUUUGUCUUGCACAGAAAGCUUGUUCAUCUAUUUCAUCCCCUAUCUUACUUCACUUUUGACAGGAGCUCACAUUGGUCCUGAGCCUACAACCGAUCGAUUUGUCGUUGUUAUGGUAAUUGUCAAUUUAUAUCCUUUUAUGUUGUCAUUAAGACAGUCUUGAAUUGCUUAGCAAUUAAAAGUUAAAGUAAAUGUUUUAUAUGGUUGUAUGCAAGUUAAAAAGUAAUAUAAUAAGGCUUUACAGGGACUCAGUAAGAAUAUAGAAACUAAGCUUCUUACACAAAUAGCCAUCCAUGACUUGCCUUAAUGGCACUUCCAACCCUCUCUAACCCCUAGGGGAUAGUGCCCAGUUUCUCUCCCAGGCAAAAAUCAACUGGCCUAGUCCCUAAGGAAUAUAACGCAAGGCUGACGUUAGUCGGGUCUCAAUUUCUAUUUUUUUUUUUUUUUUUUUUUGCGCCAAGCAAGUAGAAAACAAGUGCGUGCUUCCCAUAGCCUGCAGCUUGUGUGGCAACAGUACUAAUGAGGUCGAAUCAAUCUAGAAAUGUUAUCGUUAGCCAUGUGUCAAAAUCUAAAAAUGUUUUUCAGUUUUAAAAAAAAUAUGACAAAAAAUCAGAAAUGUUAUAGUUGGGCCAUGUGUCAAAAUCUGGGUUGUUGUAUUUCAAUUUUUUUGUAAUCCAACAAUCUAGAUUAACUAAGUUAAUAAAAAAAUACAUAAAAAAAAUUGUAUUUUUUUUAAUAAAAACCUAACCAUUAUCUUCUACCUUACACCACAUUUCAAUAUUUUCAAAUACUUUCAACCAAUCUCUCUCAAAGUUUUCAUAAAUACACCAAAUAAACUUAAAACUCUAUCCACAAAAAUUGUACCUUUUGGAAAAUUACACAUGGUUUGACGAGAUUAGUUGAAAAUACGAAUUGUCUAGGGUAUUCAUAGAAGAGAAUACCCUAGACAAUAGGGCAGUUGUUACUAUUCACUUAGGGGUGGAGAUACAAUAGAGCAGCUGUUACUAUUCAUUUAGGGGGAUUGAACUGCCUAUUGGCCAUGGGGCUUUUUAGUGGUGGAAGUGCUCUAAACUUUUGUGUUUUGAUUUAAAGAAACCUUUCCUUUAUAUUUAUGUGUCGUCCUUUUUAGUAAUUAUCAGUAGGGGUUUAUAUCCCUUAACAUUUCCAUUAAAAAACUAAGGAAAACUAAUAAAAAAAUGCUUGAAAACUUUAGAGUUUUAAUGAUAAGGACAAAAUAAAGGGUAAAGUGAAUAGUACCAGGAUUGACUUUUUAGUAUAAAAAUGUGAUUUUUCGGUAAAGUGAGGCUUUUCGUUAAAACUCCCAAACUAGGGUGGGUUGGCACAUUUUGAAAAUGUAACUUUGCAUUUUGGCCUAUAUAUUAGAGACUUGUAUUUUAAAUUUCAAUAGAAAAAGUUGUAUUUUGUCUGGUUUCUAUUGGUUGAAAUAGUCUCUCAUAUCAGUCAUGAGCCAGGAAUUUGGAAGGCAGAUUGCAGUGUAGCGUGGCAGAAUGCCAAGAGUCUGGAUAGGGUACUAAGCUUAUUAUUAGCCUAGUUCUAGGAAUUUGGAGACAAACUGAGGGACAUUUUGUGUUUGUGGUCAUUGAUCAAUAAAACAAUUAACAAUAUUUCUUGCAUCUCUUGGAAAUGCUUCUGCGACGCUUAGCAGUUGUACAUGUGCAUUUUCCUUUUUGCUUUUUGGGUGUCACUAGUACAAAAAACAUGAUGUCUUAGAGAGAUUUCUUCAUUUGUUACCUUAUAUUUCUUAAGAAAGUUGAUAGGGUUAGUGUUAAGAUAUAUAUUCUGUUGCUGUUUGUAGACAUUAAACUUUUCCAAAUUCCAUUUGCAGUUUUUUGUUUUCUGUUAAUGCUUCUGAAAUUAUUAUUGUUUACUAGCUAAUUCUUCUUGCAUGUAGUCUGGGCCUGAUGAAAGAAGUAUUCCUGGGAAUACUAUUGCCGUCCAAGCUGAUAUGCCAUUUAGCGGUCUUACAACUUUUGGAACAGCUUUCUUGUCAAAGUUUGAGUGUGCUCAAAUGCCACAUUCUGUGAGUUGUCUUUCAGAAUCACCUUGAAAUUCUCCAAAUUGUCUACUGAAACACCCAAAGCUUACACAUUUUUAUAUCCAAGCUGCUAGAACACAUUACUAUUGUGGAUACUCCUGGAGUUUUAUCUGGAGAGAAGCAACGGACGCAAAGAGCCUAUGAUUUUAAUGGGGUAACUUCGUGGUUUGCUGCGAAGUGUGACCUCAUUCUACUUCUGUUUGAUCCUCACAAACUUGAUGUUAGUGAUGAGUACAAGCGUGUUAUUUCAUCUUUACAUGGCCAUGACGAUAAAAUUCGUGUUGUUCUGAACAAGGCAGAUCAAAGUGAUACUCAACAAGUAAGCAUAGGCAAUACAUGGAUCUCUUUGAUUAUUUUCCCUCUACAUAUUUUUGUGGGAAUUUAAUUAGGUCAUUGGAUGUUACGCUCAAAUCAUUUUUCAUUCUUGGUAUGCAGUUGAUGAGGGUUUAUGGAGCGUUGAUGUGGUCACUUGGGAGGGUUUUUAAUACUCCCGAGGUCAUGCGAGUUUAUAUCGGGUAGCCUCUCCAUCCUUGCAUUCAUUAAUUCCUUGGAAGCAAAUCCUAUAGUUUCAAAUAUAUUCCAAUGUUUCCUAGCAAAUACCGUGGUUCGAUCCUGGCAAGCUAAGUUUCCCUUUUGCAGCUCAUUCAAUGACAAACCUGUAAAUGAGGCUGCUACGGGUCCAGUCGGGAAAGAACUCUUUGAAAAGGAACUGGGAGAUCUUCUGUCUGAUUUAAACGAUAUUCCAAAGAAGGCUUGUGAGCGCAAAGUGAGUUUGCUAUAUUUACGUAUCUCGAAUCUUUACUUUACCAAGAUGCUCUCUGGUUUUAUUUGCAAACUUAUAAACUUCUUGUAGAGGUGAUAUUAGGUUAAGGCCCCUUAUUUAAACUGAAUGUUUCUUGCAGAUUCCUAUGGAAUGGAAUUUUGAUGACCUUUGUUUUUCGCAGAUCAACGAAUUUGUGAAGCGUGCCAGAGCUGCCAAGAUACAUGCAUGCAUAAUUAGCCAUUUAAAGGCGGAGAUGCCUGCCAUGUUUUGGAAAUCUACGGCUCAACAGAAGCUUAUUGAUAAUUUGGAAGACGAAUUUAAAAAGGUACCAUUCCCUCCCUCCCCUGCGUAUGCGCACUCUCUACUCUAUAUUGCUUACACUUGACGUACUAUACAGGUUCAGGGGGAGCACCAUCUACCUCCAGGGGAUUUCCCGGACGUAAACCGCUACAGGGACAUCUUGAGUGGUUACAGCAUUGACAACUUCGAGAAGUUAAAACCUAAGAUGAUAGAUGCCGUCGAUGAAAUGCUGGGUUAUGAUAUCCCGGAACUCUUGAAGAAAUUCAAAAAUCCAUACGACUAAUGGGGGCAAACAGUUCUGAGAAGUAUCAUGAACUAUGGUGGCUUUGAAAUGUAUAUGUUGAUGGAGCAUUGCUCUUCUUGAGCACUUGGUGUUUGUUGUAGCAUAUUAUGGUUUCAACUCGUAUUAUAGUUCCGGGAUUUAGAUAUUGUCAAUCGCUAUAGAAGGUUUCUCAGGCAGGCGCGGAGAGAUUUUUCAAAAUGCUAGGAACACGGGAUGGUAUACCACAUGUCUCGAUACAAGUGGUAAGAUUCUUGUGUUAAAAAAUUAAUAAUAUAAAAAAUAAAAUUUAUCAUCGCUUAUAUAGUAGCACAUGAUGUAUCACUUGUGUUAUCAGCACAAAGGAAAAAUUUAUCGCAGGCUCCUUAUGGAAUGUCAAUUUUAUUGGGAAGUGAUUUCGUAUCAAGGGCAGUCUAGACAAUGUCUUUUUGUAAACUGGAGGUGAGGAUUGAGAGGUGAUCGGUAAGUUGCGUAAGAAUAUUAAGGGGGCCUCAACAUGCCGUGUCUCAGUUUUAACAGUUUUAUUGACGGAUUUGACGGAAAAUGGUAUUGACAAUAAAAAAUAGAGUUUCCGGGUGUAAAGUGACGAAAAUUGGAUUUCAAGGAAUAAAAUCAGUCCAAAAUCAAUUUCUUGAGGGAAUCUUUUUCACUUGCAAAAGUAGCGAUAAAAACACUUAAAAUACUUGCAAGAGAGCAAUGUAAUUCUAGUAUAAAUAACUCAAGCAAGAUGGUUGUAACAACCCAUCCUUAAUUUUAUGAUUUUAUUAAUUUUAAAAUAGUAAAUUGACAAAAAUGCCCUACAUGCGAGAUUGUUGACUCUCAUAGACCUUCAUUUUGUGACGCGUAUGAGCUAUUAUUUUACCGUAUUCUCGAAUUACUCGACGGUACGAACGCACAGGCACAAACGGAAUGGACAUCGGAGUUACGACGAAAAUUUUAUGAAAUUACGAAUCAUAAAGAUAUUUUGUAAAAUUACUAUUUUAAUUAUUUAAUUAUUAUAUUAAUUUUUUAGGUAGGAUAUUUUUUUUGGUGGCCACUAGGGCCCACAAUCUCUCUCUCUCUCUCCCGUCUCCCUCACCUCUCGGUUCAAUCUCUUUUCUCACCUUCACUUCUCUCCCACUCUCUCUUUCUAAAUUUCUCCAUGUGCACACAAGGUGCACAAAUUUCAGACCACCACCAUCCAAACUAGGGGCACCACAAGCUUUAUCUCGUCCUCACGAGCAUAGAACACCCAACCUCACCUCGAACUUCCUUCCAGGUCGUCAGGAUCGAAACUUAAUCGGACCGUGACUUUUUCGGUCGAUCCAUGGCGUGUUAGCAGUCACUAAAGGUACCAUUCUCUUCAUCUCGUUGAGAGGUAUGAUUUUCGUUUUGAAUCACCCAAUUUCGUUGAGUAUGGAAGAAGUUAUAACCAUUUGAACUUUCCCAGUUUCUGGCGACCUCCGCACCUUUAUAAGAGUUUUUCGGCCAUAUCCAGACACUUUUUGAACUCCAAACAGAUUUAAUCUUGUUCUACACAUCCCUAUCUUCGUUUUGAUAUAUUAUGGGUCAAAUUUGGUUAAGAAACAACGAAGUUAUGAAGCUUUGAAAAUUAUCCAAAUUUUUUACCAAAAAACCUAGUUUCCGGUGAGUUUUCCGACUAACCAAUUUGACUCGACCCGGAUCCAUUUCUGAAAUUGGAGGGGAAUAUUCCGUUAAAGUUAACCGUUGACCGUUAGUUGACUUUUGUUGACUUUUUUGGAAUUUUCUCGGAAACCCUCCUAGGCUAAUUUCGAUGCCCUCGAGUCCGUUUUUAGCAUCCAUGUAGUGAAAUUUCAAAAUUUUAAUGUAGUUGACAGCCGGGCCAGCUCAGUUGACAUUUUAGUUGGUCGUUGACUUUUUACAAAAUUUGCCGAGGACCCUCCUUAGGGUAUUUCGACACCCUGAUUUCAAAUCCACACUUUGUUUUCCCAAAUUUAAUCGUUUUAGUUGAGUUUUACUAAUGGCUUCCAAUAUUAUGCUUCAAUGCGAUUACUAUUGAAGACUCCGGUUUUCCUCUCUUGAACGGAUGUGAUCUCGCAAAUAAUUGUGAGUGGAUCUUUGCUUUUAAUUAUCUCAUAUUUAUUUAGUUUUCAUAUAUAUUUAAUAAAUAAUUUUUUACGUUAUGUCUAGAUUAGACUAACGUUUAUAAGACUUAGUGGAUUGAUGGAAUUCAUGAAAUAAUCCUACGAGAUGCACAAGUAUGCGUACUAUUAUAGGAUGCAUUAAUUAUACUUAUGGCCAUGAAUAAUGUUAUAUUGACUAGAAUUAUCAAAUUACUAUGGCAUGAUUAUACUUGUGAAAUCCUGUUCUUGGAUUUCAUUGUUAUAAUCUACGUAUUUGUAUUAUUUAGAUUUUAUAUUAUUUCUCGAGAACUUAUUUUAAUUUGUUUGAAUUUAGAUUUUAAUUAAACCAGUUACGAAGUUUGAAGUUUGGAAAUUAAUUAUUUAAAAAUAUGUAGACCUUUUGAGGUCACAAUUUAUAUUUUUGAAUAGAUCUUGAAACCACGAAUGUUUAGGGAAAAGUCGUUUGCGAGUCCGGAUUAUAACGAUAUAAUUACAGACAUUUUAGUAAAUUCAAGUGGAACUUUCUGGAAGCCAAGGACUUCCUUUUUCUUCUUUCCUGCGUGAAAAACCAAGGGGGCUGCUGAUUCUUCUACCCUAUAAUUCUCCUUCACUCCAAAAAAUUUCAUGGAAUCAUAACUUUCUCGUACGGCAACGAAAUCAUGCACAGUCGAAGCUUAUGUAUUCGUAGCGAAGCGCUCUUCAAAUUGAUACCAAACCCAUAUGCUGGAACCAAACGUGCCCAUAUUUUGAAGCCUAGAAGCUUCAACGGCUUUUAUGGUUUUUUUGCCGAUUUCGGCUAACCUCGCCGGAGAUAGGUCCUGACCCAAGAGGGAAUAAUACUCCUCUCUUCAUGUGCUUCCAGGAUAUGUAAGUGGAUCUUCUGAAUUUCAAGUUUUAUUUUCCCACAAGUUUGAGAUUUAUGUGUUUAACUUGAAUUUCUGGUGUUCUUGAUGGGGAGUUGUGGUGGUAACAUUGAUUCAAGAGCUUAGUAGCUAAGUGGAGAUUGAUGAACGACUUUGGAGGGCAGGACAAGAACAAAAAAUGGUACAUACUUUAAUUUUAUUGAAUUGUUUGUAGUCUUUGGCUAAAAGAUGAAGAAUUAAGCAUGUUAUAGGUAAGCUAACACAUUGAAAUAGAAGUUGAAUAUGAUUCCUGGAUAGUUUGGGAUUGUCCUGAAAUUGUAAAUUGGAUUAAACUAGUAUGGGUUUUACAUUGCAGAAAACUUAUUCAUUUUGCAAAGGGAAACUAUGUUUCAAUUAGCCUACUUUGGCUCUUGAUUUCUAUGUCCUUGUGAGCUCUUUUGAACUAAUAUUGUGUGUUUUGAAAAUAGACAUGUCCAUGAUCAAAACCCAUCUGAUUUCACUUAAUUCCAUUGAGUUUUGGUUGACCAAAACUAUGAUCAAAUUUGACUCACUAAGCGGCCAGACAGCAAGUUCUACAUUUCUAGUUUUGGGAUCCAUUUUAUAAUUGGCAUUACUUCCAAUUUAGAGCUCUGUUUUCUACCAACAUUAUGUGGUUAUAAAUUAUACAAAACAUGUCUCCAAAAACAUUUAAGUUCAUACCAUUUAGUUCAGGAUUGAGCUUUCAAAAGUGAAUUUCAAUUUGGUUGAUCAAAGGAGUUUUUAUGCAGCUUGUGUGGAGGAGUAUUGUUUCUUUAGUACUCAAUCAUUCUCCUAUUUUUCUUUAAAUUACUUUUGAUUUAUACUAGUGUCGUUAUUUGAAGUAUAAGUUGCACUAAAAUAAUGUCUAAGCUACACAAGUUAAUAAUUUGUAAUUACUCGCUUCCAUGCUUGCUAAUAUGCAUUUACUUGUGUUUGUUUUCAUUUGUUCAUGUGUUUGUAAAUUGGUUUAGUUGUUGUGCUGGAAAGUUUGGAGGACUUGUGUUGACAAAGAUAGUCGAACACGAGGUAGGAGGUUCUCGGGAAACUCCAUUAUAAGUAUUAUUCUUUAUUAUUUGUAUUAAUUUGGGAUCUAAAUAUUCUUUGAUAAUUAUUUGGAUAUGAUUGCCAACUGAAUACCUAUAUGAACUUAGCAUUACUACCUAGUGUGGGAUAGAGAUGAAAGUCAGAAGAUGAGUCAAGUACUUUAUUAGUUUUUAAGUAGAAAUAGUAAUUAAGGGAAUUUCUUGUGUUAUGCUCCAUAUGACUAGGUGCUUAGUUGAUACGUGGAAUCGAUAGCGUGUAUGCGUACAACUAUGUAUAAUGUGUGUUGAAUUUACUGCACCAUGUAGCAGUGGUACAUGGAUGGUCUUGCUUGGUUAAUCCGCAUUAGGGGACCAUACUAUAUAUGGAUCGCGCUUGGUUAAUCCGCGUUAGGGGACCAUAUGCAUUCUAGAAGUGAGGAGGAUUAGUUGUACUUGGUACAUUUGAUGGGGGAAUCAUAUGCUUGUUUGGAUUCCGUUGAGUGAUGGUCUAGAAUCGUAUCUAUAUGGAUUCCGUUGAGAGAUGGUUCGGAAUCAUUUCUACUCUGCGAUUCCGUUGAGUGAUGUUUUGAAAUCGUAUCUAACUUGGGUUUCAUUUAAUGGUGCUUAUGCAUUGUAAUCCGUGAUUCUGUUGAGUGAUGGUCCGGAAUCGUACCCACUUGGAUCCCAUUAUAAGGGUCCAAAAUCCCUUCUACUUUGCGAUUCCGUUGAGAGAUGGUCCGGGAUCAUGUUCACCUUAGGGUUUAUUGAAUUUGGAUUGAGAUAGGUUCAGAUAUGUAGACUUCGGCUGAACUGCGUCCCUCUAGCCCUAGUUUUUAAUGUACAUAUGAACGAUGAAUUUUGUGAAUCUUGUGGUUUGAAUUAAAAAGGUCGUUGGAUGUCUGGGUGACUCAUUUGGAGUUAUUAGAGACUUGACGAUGUAUUCAUAUUUACGAACUUAUAUUUGAGAUUUAUAAACUGUGAUCGAUGGCACUAAUUUUACAUGCAACAGGUCUGGGUAGAUUACGAGAAACCGAUUGAUAUUUUGGUUCCGUUGAGUGGUCCGGAACCCAACGUGGUGGGAUUCCAUUGAGUGGUCCGGAAUCCUUACUCUUGCACAUUUCCAAAAGGUUAGUCUAGAACCCUAGAUUCAAGUGAAUGGGAAUUAUUCACAUUAGACUUUGUGAAUAUAGAUUGUCGAACUGUUGCUCAUAACCCAAGUAGGGAAUUAUAUAGAGUUCUUUAAUUAAAUUCGUGAAAAGAUAUGUUAUCGUAUUGAUCGAUUAACGUAGUUAAAUGCUUAGAUCAUGCAUCCUUGUUUCAUGGAAUGGGUUACUUGAGGUGAUUGUGGAAUGAUGUUGAAUAUGAUUGUUAUUAAUACGAUUAGAUCAGUGAUCAUUGUGAAUUGAGAAUAAUAUUGUGCUUCAUUGGUUCUUUGAUAUGUUAUAUACUACGAUUUGCGGUAUUAUGUGAAACAUAAUGAUUUAUAUGAUGGAUGAAAUAGAAACCUUGAUUGUCAUGUGGGUUGUUAUGUAGCUUGAAUAGAAUAAUUCAUGCUUGUAAAGUCCAAAUGUUUGAUUGAGGAAUGUUAUGCCUUUUAGCUUGAACGGACCGUGUUAUAUGUCAAGUUAUAGCGAAGUUGAACUAUGAAUGGCUUGAUCCCUAUUGAUGAUACGUAGGCAAUCUAACGAAAAUGUUAGAUGCAGCCAUAAACUAUACGAAAAAUUUCUAUGCGAAUUCAACUCUUGAGUUGUGAUUUGCCAUAUUCCGGAGGCGGGGUAUGUUGGGAUACGAGUUUUUAGUGACGUCACAUGUCGAUACUGGACGUAUGUCGGGAUCGGGGCGUGACAAUACUUAUGUUACUACUCAUCAUAAAUGCUACACCCGGUGUUUGUACUUGCUCGGGCCAGGGCCAGAUUCAUGUGUAUGUUCACAUCGCACUAUUAUGCUCACUUUGGAUCUAUUGUAGGUGCUAGCCUGUACUAGACUGCAAUAGGCAACUAUAUCUUGUAUGUGACAAGCUUAGCGUCAACUUCACGUGAAUGUAGUACUAGAGCGUAGAUUCUUUUACAUCCAGCCUGUCCAUGUAGCUACUUCCUAUAUGGCUUGUGUUAUCAUAUUUUAAUGAGCACAUGAUAUUAUAUGUUAUUGUUGAGAUAUUGGGUUUUGGCAUACUGUUGGAAUACUUGCAUGAUUGCAUACCUAUAUGUAGUAUGAUUUUGAAAACUAUACUUACUUUACGGCAAGGGGUUAUUACAUUUUCAAAAAUAUUUUACAAAGCUUUAUUUUUAGGUUGGUCACCCUUAUUUUUCGCCCAUCCAGGUUUUAGUGGCAGAGUUUUCGUGUCGACGAUGAACCUUGGCAAAUGUUGGUGUAGGAGAUUACCUUUGAUGGUAUAAUUCUUAUUUUACCUCUACUGCACUUUACUUAUACUCUAACAUCACAGGUGAAUUGGGUUCAAUCCCACUCACAUGCGCACUCUUGGAUUUAGGCACUUUUAGGUUUAAAUUUACUCACAUUUUCCACAUCAUUACACUUUAUGGCUUCGUCACCCUCCUGGUGUCAACCAGCACAACUCGAUUCAGAGUCCAGGUAGACAUUUUGGGUUGAGGUGUGUCAUGGUUUUUCGUAGGGAUUAUUGAAACAAUUUAUGUUUCUAUUCUUAAUUAAUUGUUUGAAACAAAAUUUGGAAAAAGAUUUGAAAGAACAAAAACAAUUAAGUAAAAUCAAUUAAAGAAUUUGGCAAGAAUAAAGAAAUAAAAGAAAACGGUUUUGAAAGUUAAGUUUAAAAGGCACUAGGGUUUCACCGUCACCAUUAACAAUCAUAUGCAGUUCUAUAAAUUACUUAUGAAUUACCAUACACAUGCUUUGACAGUUAGGUUUUCGUAAUGCACAUUCUCCUCGUGAUGUUCAAGCAAGAAUGUAUAUCUAACAUACACAAUCUAUCUGUGAUGUUCAAAUCAAAUAUAAACAUGCAAGCUUUGAAAAACCAUGCAACUAUUAAAAGCAUGAUGUUCGCCUUAAGUGAAAUUACAAUUAUCAAUCACAAGAAAACUUCAGGGUGAUGUUCCAACAAAAAUUGCAUCAAAUUACUUGUCUAAACAUCAUAUUGGUCGCAAAUAAUUAAGACAAUUAGAUAGUUUCAAACACGAUGAUUAAUACUUCAAAAUAUUCAAGCAUGCAUAAUAUCAUAAGCAAAUUAAAAAGAAACUACAUAUUCUUGCUAAGGCCCAUGGGGCGUAGCUAAAAGUAAGAAAACUAAUAAUAAUACUGCAUGAUUUCCUUCCAUCAAUACGUUCAUGUUAUUUUCAUGUAUUUUCUUAUUCAAUAUGGUUCCUUUUAAAGGAAAACUAAUGAAAAUGAUUUGAAAACUUUGAGUUUUAAUGAUAAGGACAAAAUAAAGGGUAAAGUGAAUAGUAUCAAGAUUGACUUUUUAGUGUAAAAAUAUGGUUUUUCGUUAAAGUGAACAGUACCAGAUGCUUUUCGUUAAAGUUCCCUUAUUAAAUGUGUAAGAUAGUUGUAAGGAUCAUGUAGGACUAUUCUAUAAAAUACUAUAAGCAACAACAUAGGUAGAUUUAUUAUGAUUCAAAUUGGUUUUAUUUUUAUCUGAUAACAAACUUCAUUUGCUAAUAUUAUUGCUCGAUGAUUUUAUCUAUUACUGCUCUCUAACACUAUGGAACAAAUAAAAUUAAAGAUACCGGAUUAUAGUUGUCUAAGGGCUCCGAACCAGAUUGGGUAUAUACUUGUAAAGACAGCCUGCUUUGUCCUCCAGUCUAAUUAUAAUCCAAAAAACUUGUUUCUCUCUAUAUGCCUCACAGCUGCAUGCUACAAUCGGGAGUUUGGGGAUUCAAGGUACCUUAGAGCAUUUCAACAAGUUGGUGGAAGGCAAUAGUAAUUGGAGGGCAAUGACAAUAAAAUUGUCCUUACUAUUCACUGAAAACAGUAAUUGCUUUUGUACAAGUCCAUCCCGUUUGAAAGAAAGGGCAAGUUUUGGUCAUGGUUAGCUGAAUAUGGUGAAUUCAACGCAUGCCUUUUGGAGCUGGCAUAGGAAUGAUGAUGAUGAGCCUGUUAGGUCCCAUCGGGCCAUCAGGUCUGGAUAAUCUCGUUGGUUAGUUCGGGAUGUGUUGCUGAGAAGACACACGAAGUAAGGAAGAUACUUACAGAACCAUAGAACUUAUAAUCACAUGAAGUUUAUCAAAUCAAGGUUUGUAUAUUUAAACACCAGUUAAGAAAACGAUUCUGCAUGAUUGAAUCAUCUUUCUGUUUCUAUGACAACCUAGAACAAAGCUACGUAAAAUACACAUCAUACCUCCGCAACUACAAUCGAUGAGCUUGUUCAUGACCAAAAUAAAAUAUAACUACGACUUGUAUGCUAAUUCUUGAAGUAAGCCUACAUAACUAGAAGUUCAUAUAUGUGUUUUCAAUUGUUCUUACUGAGCACUUAAAAAUACAGCUGAAAGGGCACUUCUUUCACAAAAUCAGCCCAAUGUCUGACCCGCUAGACACAUCCAGAAUGAUUAUACAAGGGGCAACUCAAGCCCAAUCUGGUUCAGUUUUUUAGAGAAGACUUCUGUUUCCAGCCCAGCUUUUAGGCACUUUGCCGGAAAGGUGUCCAGGGAGAGCAUGCCAUGGGAUCAGUUGAGCAUUCUUAUUCAUUAUUAGUGUUUAAAAAAAAAUAAAAUAAAAUAAAAACUAGUUUUAAGACUUGCCUAGUCGGUUUUUGCGGGCAGGGCUAUGAAGGAAACGUCUCUUCCCGGCGAGAGACUACCCUAAGGGCACGUUUAUUUGGCUUCACUAACCUGGACUGAACUGGACUAGUUUUUAGUAUAAUCCUCUAUUUGUUGGCUGACAGGACUAAGUUUAAUGGUAUUAAGUGGGACUCGCUUUCACUAACUCCUUCGUUAGGUGGUCCAAGCGAGACCUCCCAAAUACGAGCGGACUAGCUAAGACCAUCGUCGUCCUCCUGCUCGCUCGCUCUUCGUGUUCGUCCUGCUCGCCCUACUCGUCAUGCUCGUCUAGAUCGUCUGAUCGCUCGACUAACUACAUCGGCCACGCUCGCUCGCUCGAGCAGGCUAAGAAAUCGUCAGUCUCUCUCUCACUCGUCAUUUACAAAUUCCAUUUGUUGUUUUGAUUAUGUGAAAUCUGGAUUGCUUUGAUUUUGUGAAAUCUGGGUUGGUCUUAUGCUUUGAAAUUGCUUGUUCUUCAAUGAUUUCUGCUUCUGGGUAUUUUAUGAUGUAGUUGUAUGGAUUUGAUUUCUGCUUCUGUGAAAUUGCAAAUUCCAUUUGCUGCCACUGUAAGUUAAUUCAUCUGUGUCUCUUGAUUCAAUCUUUGACUCCUGAUACAUUGUUUAGGUGGCUUUUAACCUCCUGCAUAGAGCUACUUGAUAUUGUAUCUAUCAAUCUAUGCGAGGUCCAAGGUUUAUCUUUCAAUUUACUAAUUUAUCUUUGGGGGGAAUUUUGUCAUAAUGAGUUAGAUAGAGGCGUUCUUAGGGCUUAUUUAGCAUUAUAAUCAAUUAAUAAAUGGAUCGUAUGGAUCAUUGUUGUUCCAUAAAGUAGUUAAUUGGUUAUCAAUAUCAUCUGUAAGGAGUGAUGUCUGGAUUAAGCUUGCAGCUCUGUUCCUUUGUUUGGAAAUUUUGUAUGGGUUGGAUGUAAGCAUGAAUCCUGGAUUGUAAGAUUAUGGUGCCCUUUAACUGAAGCUUGUCAUGUAUUUGAUUGAAAUAAUAUGAAAUAAGCACAACUGGUUGCUGAUGGUGAUCCAAUGUAGUUUUUGGGACCAAAUGAGACAAUGCUCUAGAUACCUGAAACAUCAGUACUGAAAAUGAAACAUGAUUGAGAAAGUCUUAGAAAAACAUCCUACCUUUAUAUAUAGGUACGUCAGAUAGGCACACUCUUUCUUUGGCUUUAUUCUUACAGCCAAUUCUCUGUUUAGAAUUGAUGAUAUCGGAGCAUUGAUCUCCUUAACCUCCUUUCCUUCAAUAAUUGGCUAUAUUUUCUUAUGAUAUCAUAAUAGGUUUUGCAAAAGGGGUAUGGAUGAUGGGCGUGAUUGAUGAGAUUCGAAUGCCUGUUAUAGAAACAAACCGAAACCCAAUAUUAGUUGACACAAGGACUCGUGUGAAAGAUACACUUACUGUUGAACCACAACGAAGAAAUGGAAGGUAUGCACCUUUAUUAGCUUCUGUUUUGGGCUGAUUUUUUGUUGCCAAGUUGCCAUUGAUGAGGAAAUGCACCAGAAUGAAGUCACACUCUAUUAUGGCAGGCUUCAAUUAAUGUGCUACAAGUACAUUUGGGAUGAUUUAGUUGCUGAUAAAUUCCCAUCAAAGAAAUUUUUCACUUUUUUUCCUUAAAUCCUCAUGGUAUCUUAUAUGAAGAAAUCAGAGAGAUGGCUGCUAACUCAAGGUUCCCAGUAGAGGUAAAGUCUCUCCAUUGAAUUAUUUGAUACAUUUAGUCUAGGAAAUCAGGAUUUUCGGGGUUUUCUAUUGUUUGAUGUUCCCAUUAUCACUAUACUUGCUUCAAAAACCAAUCACUUGAUAUUAAGGAUGCUUUUUUUUAGUAAUUUGUUUUGUUUAUUAGUUCAUAAACAAAAUUGUGUGACAUAGAUUUUUCAGAUAAUUACCACUGAUGACAUAGGUGAAAAAUUUGUUUCAUAAACAAAAUUUGUUUUGUUUAUUAGUAAUUUGUAUACGUAAACAAUUUCUCUUGGUUGUGCAGACCCUUGAUGACAUAGUGAGAUACUACAGAAACAUAUGUAGCAUGCUGCCCUCUACACAUGACCAGCUGCUAUUGAGGUGAGUAUAAAAUUUAUACACGAGAUCUUUUACAUUUGCUUGGUCACAAUAACUUUUGGGAAGAUACUGAUAUGACUAUUUUUGAGUCAGAUAUGAGUUACAGAAAGAUCAUUCGUUACUUGGUAAAGAUGAGUUUGCAUACGACUCUGAUUGGGUCAAGAAUCAAAUACAGGGUUGUCUUGAGUUCUGGUUAGGAGAGCGAGAAGCAAGAUACACUCCUAAGGAUGAGGGAUGGAAAUGCAGGUUCUGUCAAUAUUCUUCUGUUUGCCCCGCUAGAAGUGCAGAGUCUGCAAACUAUACUAAUACACCAAGUUAGAGAAAAGCAGUAGCAUUGGUGAUGUUUCAAUCAACAUCGUCAGUAAGUGUACAAAGAAGCACAAUUCUUGGAGUUGCUUUUUUGGGGUAAUUGCUGUGUUGGUUGUGCCAUGAAUGUAUCGUUCAUGUUGUAUUGUAGCCGUUGUUUGAUUCAAUUGUUGUAACUUAUUCUUUGGAUGAAAUCAUUAAACAUGAGUAGUAAAAUUCAAUUGUUUUGUAUUGAAAGCUACGCUCAAAGUGCAAAGGAUGUCUCUCUAUCAAAUUUAGCAAAGUCAGAUAGUGAUGUUACAAUUGUAUGUUAACAUUAGGAUGAAUGAAUAUGGUAUUAUUCAUGGAUUUUGGGAGGCUGUGAAGAAGAAAUCAAAAUUUUCUUCCUCCAAAUUUGUGGUCUGAUAAGUUUGAGUUUUUAACAAUUUUGGGUUGCUGAAUGUUUAUAGAUUUCUCAAUAUAGAGGCUUAAAGUGAUUUUAGACCAAAAAGUCAGAAAGUUUGAUGUACUGAUUCUAAAUUCCUAAGUUGUAGGAAAGCGCUGUUUGUUUUUGCAAAUUGCAAUGCUACAAUGCACAAAAACUCAAAAUUUUCUUUCAUUUCCAAGCAAUUGUUGUUGAGUUUAAUGUAAUUAUCAUUUGAUUUGACUGAGGGUAUUUUGCAGUUGAGUUGGAUGUAAUUCUAUCGUUAAAAUUUGUAAUUUCACUAUUUUUCAUUAUCUUGGUUUUUAGUCCGACACUCCACCAAACGCUUCACUAAAUUAAUCCAGCUUAGUCUAUUCUAAGCCAGUCCAGCUUAGUCCCUGAAACUAGUCCAGUCCGAGAUAGUCCGGUGCAACAAACGCACCCUAAAUGCCUAGGCUAUCGCCUUAGGUGCCUGGCGACGUGGGCAUUUGAAUUUUAUUUUUAUUAUUUUAAACAGCCCACCCAAAAUGACACCGUUUUGGGUAGGUUUUAUAAAAUUCAUGCUAAUUUUACGUUUCUAACAUUUAAUAUGACAUUAUAAUGUGAAUUAGAGAAAUAACAAUAAGUCAAAUAUUUGAUUGCUUGGCAUGCUUGCUAGAGGUUAUGCAUGAAACACCUUGACUUUGCUUUCACAUUUUAAAACAUUAUUCAUUAUUAUUCCCUGCUUAAAUACCAUUAAGUUCCAAAUUAACAUUUAUGUCUAUGCUACUCAACUGUAACAUUCCAUAUGCAUAACUAAUCUAAUGAAAUCAUGAGAUCUGUGAAAACACAGCCAUGGAAAGCAAAUGACUAAGGGCAGCUGCAACUGAUGAUAGCAUUUGGUAAUUAAUGCCUGCAAUUUUAAAUGCGGUUUUGAAAGCCUAAACCGUCUUAGAUGACUAAAAUUACCAUAUGUUAUAGUAAAGCAGUGUGUUUGAACUAGGACGCCACGCUCUUUUCAAAAAUAUAUCAUGGGCCAAAACAGAGAUCGGACAUUAAAUCUGCGUUCUUGUCUUCCUUAGGUCCAUUCUCAAGCAACCCAAAAAUCUCAACCAAAUAUUCUUCUUCCUCUUUUAACGCCAUAUUUGUUGAGUGAAGUUUUUCUUUCAUGAGUCAUUUCUUAUCAAUUUUAAAAGUGCUUCAUUCAUAGAAAUUCACCUAAAUAUUGUCCUACAUCAAAAAACGGAAAGAGGAAAGAGAAUCGGGUGAAAAGGCUUAAGAGGAUAGAGAGAGGGGGGGGGGGCAUGGGCGAUGAAGAGAGAGAGAGUUCGGUAACAAAAGAGAGACAUAAGUUGGAUGGUGGGAAAGAUGAAAAAAGCCGUGUGCAAGAUGAGAGAGAAAGAAAGCGUGUGUGUCCGUUUGUACGAUGUGCGUGUCAGUAUGUGUAAGAGCCCGUGUCAUUGUGCAUGUGACGUGUAAAAUGUGACGUUUGUUCUUUUUAUCGUAACAUUAAAUAAAGUUAUUAAAAUAUUUUUAAUUAAAAUUUAAAGUUUUAAAUUUUUUUUCAUUAGUUUCUCUUUAAUUUAAUGAGGGCCAUACCCUUAUAUAUGAUACUAAAUGUGAGGGCCAUAUACUUAUAUUCUACCAACUUCAAGGUUUUAAAAAACGUGCUAGUCGGGUGUUAGGCUUAGGCUAUGUUAGUUUUUUUUUUUUUUUUUUUAAUUUUUAAUUAAAUUUAUUAUAUAACAAUAAGAAUAUAUAAAUAAGUGACUAAUUAUACCCUUAUUUAUACUUAUAUACAUAUAUGGAGAUGGAUCCGUAGCAUCAAUUUUUUUAUAAAAACUUUGACAUAUGUUCUUGGGGUCCACUCAGUAAUGUAUUUAAGUUUUAGGUCUUUCUUUAAAGAUCAUAUCUAUAAGAAAUUACAUAAAUUUGAAACAAUAUAAUCGUUAGAUUAAGAGUUUAAUGUUUCUUUGUACAACCGUAUUCGUCAAUUUUCAUCAUUACAAAUAAAUAUCCUAAUGGUUUUAAAUUGACCCCCAUACACACACACACAUAUAUAUAUUUUCUUUUGCAUUUAGAAACAUAAUAUACAAACUACAAUUUUACAGAUGCACCUUCCCUAGAAAAUUAGAAAUAGAAGUUAACGAAAAGGACAUGGGUAGUUUGGUCAUUCCACAACGACAAUCCAAAAAGAACACAGUGGCACACGGCGGAAACCUGGGUACUAGAUAUCCAACACCGACUCCCACAAAAAAUGAUUGCAGGCAAAGCAGGAGUCAAUGGACCCAAAGCCGAUAAUCACGGUCCUCUUCUUAAUCUCCGCCACCGUCAUCGCCGCCCAAGAAUACGUCCGACCACCGCCUCGCAAGGCCCUCCAUUUCCCAUGGAGUCGAAAACCCUCUUCGCUUCCCCAGCAGGUGAGUUCAUCAUCACCUUCUCAUCUUCUCGCUGCUCCGUCUCUUUCACUUUCUGGGAAAGUCAAGAGUUUCUGGGGAUAAAAAAUUGGAUCCCAGCUAGAUUUUCUAUCGAAAGCUGGAAAAAAUUUUGCUCCGUUUUAACCUGGG
rnacentral:lncRNA from 1 species